rnacentral:lncRNA from 1 species
AUAUAAUAAUUUAUAUAAUUUUUGUGCUGACCAUUUUCGCGGGUGAUUAUAGGUGGCCAUCGUCGGAAUUUCAAUUUGCUACCAUUAAUUUGCAAGGCCCUCCUCCUCCCGUUCCCUUUGUCCUCUCCUCUCUCUUCUGCACAUCCAAAUCCAACUUCCCUACCGCCAUUUUCCGCACUUCGAUAACUCGUUAACCCCUCAGUCUCUAAUUUCUUCCUCACCCCAAAAAAAAAAAACUUUCAUUUCUCUGUCUUCUUUCCAAACUUUUUUCUUCCUCCCCUGCUUACACACAAGAAUCUGUGAUGGAUGCCGCAAAUUUAGUCAUGAAAUCUUCCUUGUUUUCGAAAUCCCCAUGUCCCCUUUUUAGUUCUAAACUCAUUCCUAGAGCACCACCCUCUGUCUUUACUCUGCCUUCUACCUUUAGACCCCUCGUUAAAUGCAUACAAGCUUCAUUCCCACCAAACCCUGAUUCCAAAAAACCCUCAAACAAUUCAACCUUUACGUGUUCAGCUGUGACUUCCUUCCCUUCUCAACAAUCUCAGCCUCACGCGCCUUCCGAUGCCAAGCUCCAACUCCUGAUCUCUGAAUUCCAGUCCCUCGUCGAACCAAUGGACCGCGUGAAACGCCUCUUGCACUACUCCACACUCCUCCCUCCAAUGGACGCGUCCUUCAAAACCCCUGAGAAUCGCGUACCGGGUUGCACUACACAGGUAUGGCUGAACGUGAGUUUCGAUGAGGCUGAGAACAGGAUGAAAUUUUUGGCGGACAGUGACUCGGAAAUAACUAAAGGGUUUUGCGCGUGUUUGGUUUCGCUGCUGGACGGGGCUACUCCCGAUGAGGUGCUGGCGUUGAAAACGGAGGACUUGAAUGCUUUGAAUGUUGCGGGGUUGAACGGGAAAGGAUCGGCAUCUAGGGCGAAUACGUGGCAUAAUGUGUUGGUCAGCAUGCAGAAAAGGACAAGGGCCUUAGUUGCGGAGCGUGAAGGCAGGCCGCGCGGCGAGCUCUUUCCAUCUCUAGUAAUCACAGCUGAUGGUAUCCAACCCCAAGGCAGCUACGCUGAAGCCCAGGUACUCUUUCUUCUUUACUUGAACAUUUUAGGCAUUUAGGAAAUGCUUGUUCAUCAUUUGUUUUGUGUCCUAGAUUACUGUUUACCGUUUGUUGUUAUCUUCAAUUUAGUUAGGAUCCAUACAUAUUCUAGGCACAAUCUGAAAAUAUAGCUCAUUUAUGUUUAUAGGGCAAGGAGAAAAGAGAGAUUCACAUUAUGGCAAAAAGGAAAGAAAGAUACACGUUUAGUAUUAGUGAGGCUUGAACUUCCUGACAUUUAAAGUCCUAAGUUAGUUUCUAUUGUAAUUGCAGGCAAGGUUCCUGUUUCCUGAUGAAUCAAGGGUCCAAAAACUUGCCAAUUUGCUAAAGGAGAAGAAAAUAGGAGUUGUUGCUCAUUUCUACAUGGACCCUGAGGUGCAAGGUGUUCUAACUGCAGCGCAGAAGCUUUGGCCCCAUAUACAUAUAUCUGAUUCUUUAGUCAUGGCUGAUAAAGCUGUCAGUAUGGCAAAAGCUGGAUGUGAAUAUAUAUCUGUAUUGGGUGUAGAUUUCAUGUCAGAGAAUGUGCGAGCCAUUCUUGAUCUAGCUGGAUUCCCAGAGGUAGACACAUCCCCCGUUUUUGUGUUCUAUUAUAUGAGUGCUUUGUAGUGAUGACCUGACUUCUAAGUUAGUCCGUGUUUGCUUGGUCAACCAGUUGGGAGUACCAUUCUAAUUGAUUUCCUCGUGCUAGACAAUGUGCAAAAUUUACAAAGAAAACCCUAAGUUUUUCUGCAUAUGAUAUACACAAUAUUAAAAGAGCAGCAGGGAACAGUUUCUUCCGCUGAUAGAUGCACAAUGAAUUGUCACAUGUUAAGUUCUCUGUUUACCGCUCAAUUGGAUUCCUACUUGGAAAUUUUCCAUCUGGCUGUUUUCCUGUGAAAUAAUCCCCUAUGUUGUUGAUCUUUGUUGAACCUAAGGUAUACUUGGUUGAUAGGUAUCUUCUGCUUUAUACAGGUCCAGUUUUCUGCUAUGAAAAUGAAAUCUUUUCUGUAUAUUACCAAUUUCAUUGUGCACAUGAGUUUAUCUUCAAGGGUAAAUGGUCUAGACUAUGAAAAAAGUAUUCAGGCACUACAACUGUUCACUUUCUCUGUGUGUGUGUGUGGUUUGGGGGGGGGGGGUAGGUUUUGGACCAAGGAAUAUCAUCUUACUGAUCAGUGAAGUUAAUGAAUCUGAAGCGCAUUUGUAGGUGAAUUUGGCAACUCAAAUCUAUUUCCACUCAAAUACCCUUGAUAUCCCCCUCUACCUGUAGAUGUAGAAUGCUUCCCCCCUCAGGCGGAACGAAAUUAACAGAAGGAGAAGUUAAUGAACACCAAAAAUAAACACUGGUUGCUUGUUAUAUUUUUUAUUUGUAUCUUUAAGGCUUGAUCUCUGCUGAACAUUCCAUUUAACUGAACGUCUUAAUUUAGUAACAUUUAUGAGCUUAGUUUAAAGUGCACUGUGGCAACAAAAUAGGUAAAAUAGCAAGAGCAAGUCAAUGUAUGAAGCUUCCAAGCCUUUGAGAUUUGCCAUGUUAUUUUGGGACUAUGCUCUUUUUGGAUAUUGAUAGUUUAAUGGAUUAUAUCUAUUUACAUAACUUGACAGGCAGGUGCAAGUAUGCCGUCUCUAAUAUAUUCUGCAUGUAUUAAUACUUCUUUUUGUAGGUUGGAGUUUAUCGGAUGUCGGACGAACGCAUUGGUUGUUCUUUGGCUGAUGCUGCAGCCAGCCCAGCAUACUUGGAUUAUCUUAAAACAGCUUCAACUUCUUCUCCAUCUCUGCAUGUUGUGUACAUAAAUACUUCACUGGAGACAAAAGCAUAUUCUCAUGAGCUUGUUCCGACUAUAACAUGUACUUCCUCUAAUGUUGUGCAAACUAUUCUGCAGGUUUGUUGGUUAUUUCCAUUGAUUUAGUUUUUUUUUUCAAGUUCUUCAUAAUUCAUCUUUUGUCUUUUCAAUGAUUAAAUAUCAGUAUAUCUUCUUCAACUAAUGAAGCUGCAUCUAAUAUCGAUCCAGGCAUUUGCUGAAGUACCUGACUUGGAAGUGUUGUAUGGUCCUGAUACCUACAUGGGUUCAAACAUUGCGGAAUUGUUCACCCAGAUGUCCACGAUGACUGAUGAAGAAAUUUCUGCGAUACAUCCUUUGCACAACAGAAUCUCCAUUAAAUCUUUGCUUCCUCGACUGCAUUAUUUUCAGGUAAUUCUGAGUUUUUUACACUCAUGGAAAUGAAGGAGGUCUUAAUGGCCAUUCUUUACUGUAAUUUAAUUUGAAGCAUUGGUCAAGCGGAAGCUUUGAGGAAAGGACUGAUCUCCUCAAAGCUUUAUCUGAGAACCAUCAAUAAUGCUUCAAUUUGCUGUAUGAUAUUGUUCAGGUCUGCUAUCCCCCGUCAUCAUUUUAAUUAAUAAAUAACCUUUGUCUCCUUUGCUUUUCCCCUCCAGGAUGGGACAUGUAUUGUUCAUCACCUCUUUGGUCAUGAAGUUGUGGAGAAGAUAAAUGAAAUGUAUGGGGAUGCAUUCCUUACUGCACACUUUGAAGUUCCUGGUGAAAUGUUUUCCCUGGCAAUGGAAGCGAAGAAAAGGGGCAUGGGAGUAGUAGGUUCUACCUCGAACAUACUCGACUUUAUCAAAGAAAGGGUAGAAGAGUCCUUGAAUAGAAACGUAGAUGAACAUCUUCAGUUUGUUUUGGGAACGGAAUCAGGAAUGAUUACGGCAAUAGUUGCAGCAGUCGGUAAAUUACUAGGUUCUGCUGACUCCUCUUCCGGUGGAGCAAAAGUAAGUGUUGAGAUUGUCUUUCCUGUCUCGUCAGAAUCAGUGACAAGAACAUCUACGGGUUCGCCUCUGGACCAAAAUAAGGUCAAUAUUAUACCUGGAGUUGCAAGUGGAGAGGGGUGUUCUCUACAUGGUGGAUGUGCCUCCUGUCCAUAUAUGAAGGUUAGCAUUAUUUGUCUGUCAUCUAUUGCCUGCUUCUUUUUUUCUUUGUACUGACUAAUUCUCUCAGUUCCUAGCUGUUACGGUUUGGUAUUUGCCAAAAAUAAACUAAACAUAAGUGUUGUUUGUUUUCUUCCAUAUCACUCAUAUUCUUAGUGCAUAUUAGAGAAGAAUUCUGUCAACAAUCUUUGUAUCCUAUUGCCUGUGUAUGUAAGGGGAGUGCAUUAUGGGGAUUGGCGGAUGCGCCAUAUUCGACCUGCUUGGAAAAAAUGUUCAUAGGGGAUUGUGAAGGCAGAGAGUAUUGGUCAAGAAAUGUUCUUUCAAUGGUUGAAUGCAUACCUUCAUAUUCUCCUGUUUUUCAUUGUGAAGUGAUAGGUCUAGCGCGGCUUAGGAAUCCUCGUGCCACUCUCCCGAUUUCAGAACUUCAUUCUCAUUUGUCACUCCCCACGCUUGAACCGAAAAAAAAUCUUCACGUUUCUUUUUCAAUUAUUUUUUAGCUACCAUGCAAAUCAUAUGUGGACUUAAAUGAAAUAACUUUGGCUAGAAUGUAAAUGCAGGGCGGUCAUGUUACCCUUUUCAUGUGUUUUGUGGAGUUAAGUGAAUAAGCUGUAGCCCUGGCAUGAUAAUGGUUUCCGAUCUUUCUAUAGAUGGUUGCUCCAAAUAGGUGCCUUGAUGUACGGUCUAAUGAGGCUACUAUGAAAUAUUUACUCAUGGAUGGGGCAAGCUCUUCUAUUCUGGUUCAUGUUGCAUUGUUGACAUAGAAUGACUUAUUGCUACAUGUUAUGCUGUUUCAAAUGUUGCAUUGUUGACAUAGAAUAACUUACUGCUACAUUUUACACUUCAACUUCAUAAGUGCAGUUUUGUAGUGGAUGUCUUCCUGGACCAUAUAGAACCUAUUACUUUUCUAAAGAUGGAUUCUCAUUUGCUUACAUCCUUUAUCUGUCAGAUGAACUCUCUUAGCUCGUUGCUAAAAGUUUGCCAGAGCUUGCCCCAUGGCAAAGCCGAACUUUCAGCUUAUGAGGCAGGACGAUUCAGUUUGCGAACCCCCAAGGGAAAACAAAUUGCGGAUGUUGGUUGUGAGCCGGUUCUGCACAUGAGACACUUUCAGGUUUGUUUCCUCAUUUUCUGUAUUAGCAAAAUGAGUGUAUCCAUGUAACUUGACAAUCCUAAUGUUGCCCAAGUCAUGAUUUGAAAAACUGCACUGAGCAUGUGAUAGGGACAUUCAGUUAGAUAUCGACUUUUGAGUGUUUUCUUUUUGAACCCCCUUUGUGCAGGCAACAAAGAGAUUACCAGAGCAGCUAAUCAAUCAAAUACUUCAACCUCGUGAUAAUGGACGAUCAAGCUCUGCUUAAACAAGACGAAAGCUAGACAGACAGUGGUAUUUACUCGAGACAAAUAAAAGUUUACUUCCCUUCACCAUACUUGGCAAGGGAAGGCCUAGAGGAGCAUUAUGCCAGCCUCAUUUUUUCUGCAUAGGACAUGGAUUAUACAGGAAUUUUAUGCUGUGCACAUGCUUUGGUUGUUCCGUUUCUUACCUUUCUUUUUAUUUUUACCUGGUUUAAGUGUGAUUGUAAUAGAUGGAGGAAAAUAAUGGUUGUACUUUUGUUUCCCCUACAAAAUAUUGAAGGUGUUUGUAUUCGUUAUGCUUAAAUAAGCUUUAAAGCUCUUUUAGUUUUGUUCUUUUUUAGUGUUUGGCAAUAUUGUCAAAUUUAUUUUGGUUGACCAAUCAUUUUAUAUUUGUAUCCCUUUUAACUUUUCGUAAUCCCAACAUUACCCUCAAUUGUUUGAAGUCAAUAGUAAUUUGCUCAUAAGGCCACUAUAGCGAUCAAUGGACAAAAAGUGAACAGCUAUAUGGAACAAAAGUUAGAGUUAAUUCUUUGGAUGGUACCAAACUUAAGAUAAUAUCCUUUCAAAGUCAUUCUUGUUUGGCUUGAGACAAUAAAGUCACUUAACUAGUGUUAUUUAAUUUAGAAAUUAAAAAAAACACUUAUUUGGUGCCAUCUCAUAUUUAAAAAUAUAUAUUUAAUACUAAAACUCAUUUAAUUCAUGUCUCUUAUACCCAUUUAACCCACCCAAUAAGAAAAUGAAUCUAAUUUUAAACAACAAAUUAUUAUUUUUAACAAAAAAAUCUUUCUCUAUAUAUAGUACUAUAUAUUAUGAAGCGGGUAGUUUGCAAUGUAGUUAGAAGUGGCGCUUCAAAGAAAAUGACAUACAACAAAAUUAGAACAAAACUAAUGAAAGUUAGGACAAAGUUAAUAAGAAAUGUACUAACAAAUUUAAAUUGAUAAUUGAAAGAUAAAGUUUCAAAUUAGAAUUUAAAACUAAAUAUAUUUAACAACAUAUAUUAAGAUAAAAUUCACUAGAUAGUCCCAUUAAAAUGAUGUACUAUUUUGAAAUUUUGAUAGUCUUAUCAGAUAUAUAUUAUUUUCAAAUAUGCAAUUAUAAUUAUUUGCACAAAUGUAUUAUUAUCAUAAACUUAUAAGUAAAAAUAUUUUAAAAAAUUAACAUAAAGCAGUAAAUUUAGAAAUUUCUUAUAACUAUAUUAUAAAGGAAAAAUAUAUCAUCAAUAUUUUUACUCUGAAUAUCCAAUUUAAGUUUCGAAAGUCAUAAGAUUCUAUCUACUCAGUAAUACUUUUUAGAAUAGUUUAAAAUACAUUACAGAAAUAUCAUAUUAAUUAGAUCAAUGUUUGCUAGGAAAUUAAAAGAAUUAUUUGUGAUAAAUAAAAUUUAUCAUUAAAAAUAUAUUUUUUAUAUGACAUGGCAUGUUAAAUGGGUGCUUUAUUUUUUGAGUCAAAAAAUAUUAGUUGAGUGAUUUUAUUGUCCCAAACUAAAGAAAAGUAAUUUUGGUAAGAUAAUCAUAUAAAUUGGGUGACCAUUUUAGGGAAUUAACUCUCAAAUCCUAAUCAUCAAAUAGGAACCCAGUUGUCUAAUAACUAACUUCACGAAAUUAUAACUAUCCUAUUAUCUUAUGUCUAUAAAUUAUCCAAACCAACUUUCUUUAUUUUGAAUAUAAAGUACCAAUACUCAUACUAAUCACGUAAUAAUGAGAAGACUGCUAUAUAUGACUUUAGAAGCGUAAUUUUGUUUUUAAAUAGCUUAAUUCUUCCAUUGCUAAUAUAUUUAUUGUUAUUGCACAUUAUAUCCUACAUAAAAUAACACAUAGAUUCUACAUAUAAUAAAAUAAAUGUAUUAUUUAAUAUUUCCAAUAAAAAUAUUGUAUUAGUUAUAUAGCAAUUACUUUUUCUUAUGCAUCCAAUCAAACUCAUGCAAAAUUUUAUACUGGGAUUAAUUAUUCCAAACCAUCAAGAAAAAAGGCGAACCUAAUAUAAUAGAGGUAUUAUUACUUUUAGCCUGCGCCAGAAACUAUUACAUCUGAUAGUCGAAAAAUAUAUAAAAUUUAUAUAAUUUUUGUAUAUAACAUACAUAAUGUAUAUAUAUAUAAUUUUUAUAUAUUAUUUCGACUAUUAUUUUUACAGCGGCUAUACAAUAUCAUUUUUCCAAUAGAAUACUACUCUGGUAUCUAUUUUACAAAAUUUUAUAACUGUAUAAAUAUAAUAAUUGGAGUGAAGGCGGGCUACAUUCCCAGAGAUCUACUAAUUAUUAUUGGGAAAGAAUGGGAAAAACAAAUACAGGAAAAGAAGUUUUCUACACGUGGCAGCGCUUAUUAUGAUUGCUUGUUUUUCUUUGUUUUUCCAGAUUUCGGGGUAUCAUCUUUGACCAAUCAAACAUUGUGAAGAGCUCUCUCUCUACUUAGUACUUACCAGCUCUGUGUGGUCUCUUGUCUUUGUCGGUCGACCGACGCCUAUUCUCCAUUUCUCUCUUCUUCCCCAAGCCUUCUUUCUGCAGACUUAAUCGAAAAGAGACAAUUUGGGUACGUUAAUAUUUGUCUUUCUACCCCAGAUCUUUCGAAUUUUGUCAUUUCACUGAGUCGACAUUGAGCUAUUUAUGCGGAUGUGUAUAUGUUUGAGCCGAUUAUAGAUAAUGCUUCUUCUGUCUUUGUUGUUUUACCCCUUUCCCCUGAAUCUCUGUGGAAGCCAUUGGAGUUUGUACUGAAUAUUUAUAAGGCUUCUGUAUUCUUGUAUCCUCGCUCCCUCUAAAUUCCUCAUAAUUAUUUUUUUUAUGAUGUGAUUCCCUUUAUGUAACAAUUUGAAUCUCAUUAAUUGAGAACAGAAAUAUUUCUGAUAAUCAUAGUAGAAGCAACUUAUAUCCCUGAAAUUGUGAUUAAGGCAUAAGUUAUGUUGGUUUUUCUCAAAUGGGGAGCUCCAAAUUAAAGCUAAGCUUUUACAUAUUAUAAACAAACCAUGAUGGAGUAUUUGUUUUCCAGAUUCUUCCUCCUUACUGUUUUAGGGUCUAUUCGAUGGAGCUUUUCUUAAUGCACUUUGUAUCACAUUUUUUUUUUCUUUUACUGAUAAUUGUGACAUUUCUUUUCUUUGGUUUUCAUAUGAUAAAACCUAUGCUCUUUUCUUUGAGAACCUUUUCUGUACUGUGCUCAAUGUGAAAAAAAUCAUUGUUGGGCUCCUGUGUAUGGAGUGGCGGAGGGUGGGGUUUGCUAUAUCACAAAGAUCAAAAGAAAAUAUAUAAUAAUAGGAGAGUCUAUAGCAGUGCAGAUAUGCUCGCACUAAAAUAGAUGGAGUAGUAAUCAUUAACUUCAAAACAACUAGGUUUGACUUCCUCCCAUCAUAUAUUUGUAUUGGCUGUGCCUAUCAUUGAGGGUUUUCAUCCCGAUUACUGCUUCUGGCGAUGGCCUCUUUCUGAAAUUCUCCGUUAGUUGUAAAUCAUGUUCAAAUUUCUAGAUGGAGCAAGGAUCUUUGAACCAUGAUUUUUUUGGUACAUGCCUAUAGAUUUAAUGGAAAGACCAGGGUAGUGGCGGAGACAGGAUUUUCACUAAGGGGAUUCAAAAAAGAAAAAAAGUUAAAAAUUAAAAUAGAACUGUUGCUAGUGGAAAUGGAACCAAUGACUUCACAAAGGUUUUGAACCUCCUCCUUGAUCACUAAGCUAUGCUUUUGGGCUAUGUCAAGGGGAUUCAAAAUGUAAUAUAUAGAGAUACAAAAUAAAUUUUGCCUUAUAUAUAUACAAUGUAAUUUUUCGGCGAAGGGGAUUCGGGUGACCCCACUUCCGACCCCCUAAAUCCGCCCUUGGAUCAGGGCUAUGUGUGAUCAUAGUUUAAAUGAGGUUACAACCGGAAAUAGCUUGAAAAAAAAUCCAACCCCACCCCCUAUUGACCACAACCUAGAAUAACCAGGCUAUCUACCGCUUUUAAACCUGUUUGCAGAGGCUCGUGCACGAAUGUAAGCCCAUGGGCUUUCACUUCGACACGCCUUUUUGCUCGGGAUUGCUUAGAGCCCCUUUCCAUCAAUAGGUACUUCCAGGCGUCGACCACACGUCUUAGCAUAGCCUUUCCUGCAAGAACAUCUAUGACAGAUCCAGUGUGCUUGACAGUUCUUAAAUUCUGUUGUGUUAUUAUAGUUAGGAAGUGACGAGUUUAAUGAAAUUGAGCAGAAAUCAAGAGUCUUUCUUUUCUUUGUGAUUAGAUGGGCGAUUUUGGUGUCCUUGAUGAAGUCCCGUAGUCUUUUUUGGCUAACAUUAUGUCCUUCAGUACGAGGUCAUUUAGCCUCAGUUUGUAAAUUUUGUGCCCGAAAAAAACCAAGUGCAUGCAAAAACACAAUCACAGAUUAAAAUUCACAAUUCAUUCUGAUUGAAAUGUUCAUUCUAUAAAUUGUAAUUCGUCUGGAGGACUGAGUUGGUCUUUGAGUGAGCGACUGCUUUGACUGCCAUAGAGUAGCUGAACUGGUAAAAAUGAUGAGGGUUGGAGAUGGGGGGGGGGGAGGCUCAUCAUGUGCCAUCAAGGUUGAAUGUGAAAAAUAAGCCCAGCAAAGAUUUCUGGAAGAUCUGUCCAAUGAGCUCAGAAGAGCGAUGUCAGACGUAGACUAUGUCAGAGGAGCAGAGGAGAACAGCCUAAUAUCAAGGAUACUAGUUUCUGUCUUUAUGAAUCUAGUGUGUAUUGAAUAAUGGAGCAACCUAGUAAAGUAGUAGUUGAUUUGAGUUCUCACUUAGAUUUGUUUUUUUGUUUUAUUUUCAUAAGCAUGCUAGUUUUGUCUUUUGCUUUCUGAUUCAACUUAGGCAUCGUAAUAGAAUUAUUUUGGUAAUACUGUUUGAUAUUAUGAUUGUUUUACUGUUCAGAAAACCUUCACUGCUUUGAUAAAUUAGAAAUCCAGAACAACCGCAGCUUUGAUUGCUUCUCUUUCAGAGUGUGACUAAACAAUUGACAACUUAACCUUGCAAAAUAAGGAGUGGUGCACAAUGGGAUAUGCAAAUGGCCUUCUAUGUCCACAGGGGAAGCAGCCACUUCUCUCCUUUGGGAUCAUAUCAGAUGUCCAAUAUGCUGAUAUUCCUGAUGGCUGCUCCUUCCUUGGUGUUCCUAGGUAUUAUCGGCACAGUAUUUGUGUGUUGCAGAGGGCAGUUCAGAGAUGGAAUCAAGAAAAGCCAAAAUUUGUUCUUCAUUUUGGUGACAUUGUUGAUGGGUUUUGUCCCAAAGACCAGUCAAUGAUUGCUGUGAAGAAAAUUGUUGAUGAAUUUGAUAAGUUCGAUGGCCCUGUUUAUCACAUGAUUGGCAAUCACUGCCUUUACAAUCUUCCUCGGGACAAGUUGCUUCCUCUGUUGAGAAUUCCUGGCCAUGAUGGACGUGCCUAUUUUGAUUUUUCUCCAAUUCCAGAAUACAGAUUUGUAAUCUUAGAUGGUUAUGAUAUCAGUGCCAUUGGUUGGCCAGAGGAUCACCCUAAUACUUUGAAGGCCUUAAAAGUUCUUCAGGAGAGAAACCCAAAUUCAGACAAAAACAGUCCAAAUGGACUUGUGGGAUUAGAGAGAAGAUUUCUCAAGUUCAACGGAGGCGUCGGGAAAGAACAAUUGGAAUGGCUGGAUCAUGUCCUUCAGGAAGCUACGGAGUUGAAUCAAAAUGUAGUAGUGUGUUGCCAUCUGCCUUUGGAUCCUGGAGCUUCAUCUUUUGCAGCGUUGUUGUGGAAUUAUGAUGAAGUGCUGGACGUGAUACAUCGUUAUAGCUGUGUGAAGGUCUGUCUAGGUGGACAUGCCCAUAAAGGUGGACAAUCGGUUGACUCCCAUGGUGUACAUCAUCGGGUCCUUGAAGCAGCUCUUGAGUGCCCUCCUGGAACUGAUGCUUUUGGAUACAUUGAUGCUUUCGAUGAUAGAUUAUCACUUUUUGGUAAUGAUAGAAUGAAGAGCACUGAGAUGGUUUUUGGUCACUAGACCUUACAUGCAACAGAAAAAAAGAAGCUACAGGUGUAAAUUGUACCUACUUUUAGUGGUUAUAAAUAUGAUAUCAGCUAUACAGUAUGUUGAGAAAGCAUAAUUCCCAGGAAAUGCAAAACGGGCAUGGUUUUGAUGUAAGUUACGUUGCUUACACCCAGAUAUUGCGGCUGCUCCAUGGAUGAGGUACGUAUUGGACUCUAUUCUUGACUUCCAGGGUGUCUUGAAAAUUCCUGUAUGUCGAUUUAGGUUUAGCCUGAAUCCUUAGAGUUCCAAAAGUUGAUUCUGUCCUGUAAUAAACAUGGUUGUACUCUGGAUGAAUCAGUAAAUCUAACGAUGGAUACAUUUAUCAUGUGUUUCUACUCUCUUAUCUGAACUUGUUUGCUUCAUACUACUAGUUGCAUUAUUAUGGCAGAUGUAUCUUAGAUUAUUGGCAUUUGAAAAUGAUGUUAGAUAUGUAAAUGAAGGGGAAAAUUUUCUCUGUUAAUCACAUAGCUGAUUACUAGUUUAUGUUUCUGGAGUUGACCUCUCUUAGCUACUACUACUAGCAUAUACCUAUGGGGACUGGUAAUUAAUCCAACCACCAGGAAAGAAUACACAGCUCUUGGGCUAGAGGAGAGCUAAUUAGUAAAAAAAUUAUUACUAAUUAACUAUCCUAAAUAUCCAACAAUAGUCAUAUCCAUGUUUGAAAACAAUACCAAGAAAAUCUGCGUUAGAGCUCUCUUGGUACUUCGUAGGUGUGGCUUCCCUAUUCAAGCAUAUCACUAUCUUGAACUUCUUGGAUAGUUUACAACAACAAUAGUUACCUCUCAAUCUCUUAACUAAAGUUGGGCAUGUGAAAAAAAUUCCUUUCCCUAUUUAACGUCCGCAUUUGGAGUUCUAGUGAUAAAAUUGAAAAUUUUCUCAUAUAUCACAGCUACUACUGAUAAACUAAGGCCAUGAACUUUCGAUUUCACACCGAGUCCGUUGGUUUUGUGGUAACUUUUACAAUUUGUGGUUCCUUUCUUCUUUGUACAACAUGUCGAAUUAGGGAAUGAAAGAUCAACUAAUCUUUGGCGUAAAAUCCAUUUUAUCAAUUAGCAGCCAUAUCAUUUGGAAUAGUUGAGUUACUUCUUUUGUUUUACAGCUUCAGAUUGCAGAUAUUUAGUGUAGAAAUGAAGCAAUAUUUUACUGGUUCGACAAACAAUUGGGCACCUACAAAGAUAGAGAAAAUAGACCCCACAAAGAAAGUAGAAAAAUAUGGUAAUGAGUAAAGUCUUUCUCUGACAUCCCAUUGUGGUGUGAACAAACAUGUUGAACACACGAGUUACUAUUAAUUGAAAGUCUUCGCCUAAAGCUUUUUUCUAAGCCUUUCGUUCUCAUAAUGUCACAUUACCCAACCAAAUUACCUACCAAUGCUUACUUUUCUAAAUGCUCAUCGUCACAUUUACCUGCCUCAAUUAAUGAAAGCAGUAACUAUAGUAGUAAUUAUUUUACACAGCUAAAAAUAUAACAAGCUAGAAUAUCACUAUUACUUUCACCUAAGUUGCAGGAAGGCAAAUUGAAUAUGAUAAUGGAGCAGUAAACAAAUUAAAUAUAGGGUAGGGUGAUCAUUUUUGGUGGGAAGUUUUGGUCUUUCUCUUCUCAAUAAAGAAGAAUCCGACAAGGGAGAUAAUGGAGAAAGCGGAGAAGCAGGCGGCGCAGAUGUCAAUAGUAACAUGGCGGCCAGUGAUUGCCAAAAUAUGGAACAAGUUGAUUUUCUUGUGGGAAUCAGUGGUUUGGCCAUAGGCAACCUCUUCACCAACAGAGUCAUAAACAUAUGCCCUUAUGAAAUAGGUAGCAGUGGGAACAUCCUUGUCUAUAAUCCAAGUGAAAUUGUUGUUUAAGGAAUUGUAUGGCAUUGUGACAAUGUUAUAUUUGCAAGACUUGUCUUUUUUGAGAUUGUCGUCGGAUUUCCUCCAUCCUCUGUCCACUUGGCUUAUUGGGGCAUAACAUAAUUUCACCUUCACUCUCUUGUAAUUUGAGUCUGUUCUACCUGGGUUGCUCUUGUUCAAUGACCAUGUAACUGUCACUUGUCCUUCCCCAGAUUGCAGCACUGUAUCAAUACUAGCAUCCAUUAAUUAAAGGAAUAUACUCAAAAAAAUAUGCUAAUAACUUGCAUGGUUUCCUAACAUUUUCAUAUUUUAGGUGAAAUGGUAAAUACUCUUUCAUCUUUAACUACAAGUCUCAUGUUCGAGACUAUGUGUGAAGUUGCCUUUGUUAAGGGGUGCUUUACCUCCGAUGUGGACUUUCCUGUGCAAAUACAAAUUUAGAGCCUGUUUGAUCAAGCUUUUUGGAGGUCAAAAAUUUUUUUUUUUUUGAAAAAUUUAAGGUGUUUAAUCAAGAUGAAAAAGUACUUUUGAACAAUAGCAGAAACAGUUUUUGUGCUUUUGGGAAGAAGAUACAAAUUCUAACUUCUUCUAAAAAGUAGAAGCAGAAAAUUAAUUUGUUCAAGACAACAAUAACCUUACAAUAAAUUUAUAUUUUUUAAAUUAUCCCUUAUUAAUUUAAUAUUUUUCUUUUUCUUUUUAUUUUUACUAUACCUUUCUUCUUUUUUUAUUUUAAUCAUAUUUUUAUUCUCUUUUUCCUAUUCCUAAUAUAGUAGAUUUUAAAUUUUUAUUGUAUGAUAUAUUUUGACAUAUUUAAAUUAUCAUGUAAAGAAUAAGUAAUACCAAACAAAUGCUAUUUCUUAGGAAUAACUAUAUUUUAUAUUAAUUGAAAAUUUUAAUUUAUAUUUUUACGUUACGUUUUAUCUUUUAAUUGAAUUUUGUCAUAAUAAAUACUUUGCAAAAAAUACUACUCAAAUGAAUUGGUCAAACACAAACUACUAUUUUGCAAAAGUAUUUUUCCAAAAAAUAUUUUUAAACAAAAAUACUUUUCAAAAUAAGUCAAUUUGCAGCUUGCCCAUACAUGCUUAGUUGGCCCCCAAUGCAACUGGGGAAAAAAACUCAAGAAACGUUUUCAGAUUUUGCGGAAACGGGUAGCCACUAGGAGAUCGCAAACUUAAAUUCAUUAAUCAUUUUAUAUUUUAAGGAAAGGAGGGCGUACAAGUUAUCAUUAAAUUCAUUAAUAAUGGGUCGAUAGCCAACUCAUAAUUUGUUUUUUACAAGUGAAAGUCAACUUGGCAAAAAAAUUGAAUGAAUAUAUAAUUAGAAUACUUUUUUCUUUUAAGGUUUUUUUAAACAGAUCUAUUACCCAAAAGACAGGAGAAAAAUAUAUAUUGAGAUUAUUCAAAGCAAGCAAGAAAAAAGAAGAAGCAUACCUUGUCCUUGUGUGGGCGAAGAAUUGAGUACGAGAGUUUGAUGAAGGGAGGAGAAAAGAGCACCAUAAGCAGUGAGUGCAAAGCAAGAAAGAACAACCGCUGAGACAACAAAAAAGGCAGAAAGAGUUGACAUGAUAUUGCUUUUUGCACUUCCAAAGUAUGAGGAGGAGAGAUUGAGUGGAGGUGAAAUUAAAUUAAAAGAUACUAGUACUAUAUGUGAAGUUGUGAACCCACUAAUUUAUGUCUAUCACACAAGUGAAGAUGGGGGGCCGACAAGUUAGACUUUGCUUAAUAUGGAGGUGACAAAACAAACGUUAUUUGAUAUAUAUCAAACCAAUAAAAUUCUAAAAGAGAGCAAAGACUAGUCAACUACACCACCCAACUAGGGCCUCACCAAAGUACGUAAUUGCAGUGGUAAACCAUUUUGUAUUUUUAUUCUUUUUUGUGGUGUUCGUUAGACAGGACAUUAGCACUACAUGUGAGCAAGAGAAGAAGUUCGUGGUCUAAUCUUUAAUGGAUUAGUAAUGUGUUUCGAUUUCUAAAUACGAAGAUAAUGGUUAAAUCCCACACCUUGGCCGCCGAACUACUAUACUAGCUAGGUAGAUAUUUCUUGAGAAUUUAAAGGGCUAGAAUAUCUCACUGUGAUGAUGAUUGUGGGAAGAUUCAAGGAAUCUUCAACUUUAAUUUAAUCAACCAGGUAUUUCGAGACCAUAUUUAAUUAUUAUGUCUCCUAGAUGUGUCUUGCAAUAAGACAAAAGAUGAAGUUGAAAUUAAAGAAAUGGUCUAUUAAAUUAAAUAACAAACUUGAACUGGAAGGUGUUAUGAUCAACAAGUUGGCCUCAUGUCUCUAAAUAAUGCAAGGCAAAAGAUGACUUUGAGAUUAAGGAAAGGGCAUUACUAAUUAUUAGCAAACUUGGAUUGCUAUGUGUUAUGAACACUUCGCCUCGUGUCUCCAAAUGAAAUUCUCCAUCUCUAAAUUCUUGAUCCAUCGAAUUCCUAAUUCCAGGUUAGGAGGAUCAACUCGAAAGAAGAUCAAACUAAGUUGGAACUUUGAUUAAAAUGAUAUACUAGUAUGAUUUAUUUGGCUAUAUAUUACUUUUAGCAGACAGGGAGAACUCAUUAACCAUACAAGUGGCUAUAAUUUUUUUUUUGAUAAAUAUACCAGUAAGGGUGUACAAAUGAAACCGAUAAACUACACCAACCCGAUAAUCCGAGUCAAACGAAGAAUAAAACUCGACUAUGGUUUGGUUUGAUUUGGUUUGGUGUUGGAAAAAAAAACCCUAUUAUGUUUGGUUUGGUUUGGUUUUAACUAAAAAAAGUCAAACCGAAACCAACCCAACCCAACAUUAUAUAUAUAGAAGUUUUAAAUAUAUUUAAUACAUAAAAAUAUUUAUUGUCAUGUAGUUUAUAAAUAUUUCUUAAAUUUUUUCAUAGUUUUAUAUUUUAACGUAUUAUUUCAAGCUUGAACUUAUAAUUUUUGGAUGCUCCAAUAAGUUUUAUAGUCCAUAAAUGUUAGUAACUCAAAUAAAUCCUAAACCAAAAUUAAAUCAAUAUUAAUGCUAAUAAAAGACAUUCAAUUCAUUUGUACUAUCAAUCAUGAUUCAUCUCAUAUUUUAUGUUUAUUUUAUUAGAAAAACACAUCAUAUAGUUCUGUCUUACUAGGAUUAAUUGUAUUGAUAAUUAAGUAAAUUCGAGAGACUCACUUGGACAUUAAAAGUGAAUUAUCUAGAGUUAGAUUCCGAACAAUUAUCUUGCACCUAUUCUAUCAACCCAUAUUUUCUCCCAUUGAUAACUUCCUUGCUUACCUUUAUCGAGAUUAUCAUUAGUCAAUAGUUUAGGUUCUUAUUUAGUUUCAAUUCUUAAUUAUAUAAAUCUCCAUUGUCGAUCCUCCUGGAUAGCAAUCGAGCUAUGAACUACAAGAAUACUAUUUAAAUUCAAUCCCUAUGGAGACGAUAAUUAUACUAUACUAUCUUUGACUAGUGAGCACAAUUUAAGUGUGUUGGCGCUCGUCAAGUUUUGGCGCCGUUGCCCGGUAUUGACAAUUAAUAGUGUUGAAAAUAGUUUGUAGUGCUAAUUCAGAAAUUUAUUUUUAUUUUUACUUUUAUUUUUGUUCUUCACGGGUAUCUCCUCCGUGUGCAGGCAACAUGUUAAGUCCGUGGUGUAUGACAUGAUCUUCUUGUAGAGAAGUAAUACCCUACAAACCGGAAUUGGAAAAACACCUGCGACAACUAAGGAAGGAGAAAGAGUUUACUGUAAGGUUCUUGGGGAAACCUUCAACCCAAGAACACAUGGCUAAUAACGAUGACAAUGAGGUAGAGGCAGCUGGAAGGAUAGCUGCUGAGGCAGCCCAUAGAGUUGCUGAGGAAACUAUCGAAGACAAUAGGGGUCGAAGAUUCAAUCUAAAUCGACCCUUGAUUGAAGACCAGUUCGAGAAUGCACUACCAAGGCUUGGUAGAGCAUUGGGUGACUAUGCCAAACUAGUCUACAAUCAAGGAUUGUCAAGUGUUAGACCACCUCCAAUUGCAGCCACUAAUUUCGAGUUGAAGCAAGGUUUGCUUCAAACCAUUGAAAGCAGCUGCGUUUUCAGAGGGAAGAUGAACGAAGAUCCAAACACGUAUUUGGUGGACUUCGAGGAGAUUAUGAACACUUUUCAAUAUAAUGGGGUAUCACAAGAUGCAAUGUAUUUAAGGGUAUUCCCCUUUUUACUUAAAGAUGAUGCGAAGCAGUGGCUUCGAAGCUUGCCAAAUAGAUCAAUUAGAACAUGGGAGGAAAUGACCAGAAAAAUUCUUGAUAAAUAUUUCUCCUCAGCCAAGAUGAGUUUAGAAGAGAAAUCCAUAACUUCUACCAGAAAGAGAAUGAAACUGUUUUUGAAGCAUGGGAGAGGUUUAAGGAGAUAGUUAGAAAGUGUCAACAUAGCGGGAUUGAACUUUGGAUGCAACUCCAGGAUUUUUGGAAUGGAUUGACACUGGCCUCGCGUAGAACUUUGAGCAAUGUAGUUGGAGGGCCUUUUAUGAAGAAGACUCCAAAGGAGAUAGUUACAUUUUUUGAUGAAUUAUCCAAAGAUGCUAAUCAGCGGCCCUAUGAGAGUAUGGAAAGAAGAAAAUCAACUGGUGUUCACCAAGUUGAUGCUACUAAAUCUGCACAAGUACAACUUGAUGCUAUGGCUAAAGAAAUACGGAAGCUAACUGUAGCUUUGAUGCAAAAUGUACACCACACAACUUGUGAUAUAUGUGUAAGAGGACACCCCACCCAUGAGUGUCAAGCCUCAUAUGAGAAAGUGAAUGCUGUAGGAAACUAUAAUGCAAUGGGUCAGAGGCACCCCAGCUUUUCAUGGAGUUCACCUGGGGGGUACUGUAAAUGCAUGGCAACAAAACAACCCCAGAUUCCAAGAACAAGGAGCUACAAGUUUUCAAAAUCAGCAGAGGCAGCAGUAUCACUCUCCACAGUCAAAUCAAUCUAGCAUGGAAGAUCUUAUGAAGACCUUCAUUAUCAAGACAGAUGAGAGGCUUGAUGCCCAUGAUGCAACUAUCAAAUAAUUGAGUACAUCUUUUCGAAGAUUGGAAAAACAGGUUGGUCACUUAGCUACUCUAAUGUCGGAGAGAACCCCAGGAAUACUUCCCGCUGAUACUGAGAGAAAUAAAAAAGAAACAAUGAUGGUUGUAACUAUGAGAAGUGGGAAAGUGUUGAAAGAUCCCACCCUGAUUUAAAAUGAGGUGAACUUUAAAAAGGAAAGUGAGAAGCAGUUGAAAGGUGUUGUUGAUAAAAAGAAUAAAGCCCCGAUGAAAAUUGAGAAAAAGAAGGAAGAAAAAUCAAGAAGGGCGGAACAUGAUGAGAGCAAGCAUAUGUCUGCGCUGCCUUUUCCCUAAAAGUUGAGUCGAGAAAAGCUGGACAAGCAGUUUGAGAGAUUUCUAGAUAUGCUGAAACAUGUUCAUGUAAACCUACCAUUCACAAAAGUGCUCUCACAAAUGCUGGCUUAUGCCAAGUUCUUGAAGGAGAUUCUGACAAAGAAGAGGAAAAUAGAAGAGACCUCAGUGGUCAAGCUCACAGAGCAUUGCAGUGUAAUAUUGCAAAACAAACUCCCACAAAAGUGUGGAGAUCGAGAGAGUUUUACCAUACCUUGCUCUUUAGGCACUACUAAUUUUGAUAAGUCUCUAUGUGAUUCUGGUACCUCAAUUAAUUUAAUGCCUCUAUCUAUUUACAAGAAACUGGAGCAGGAGAUUUGAGAGAUAAGGUCUGCACCAAUAUCUUUGCAGCUAGCAGACCAAACGACUCUAAUACCCGAGGGAAUAGUUAAAGAUGUCUUAGUUCGGGUAGAUAAGUUUGUAUUUCCUGUGGAUUUCAAAGUGGUUAAUAUGGAAGAGAACAAGGAGGUCCCCCUCAUCCUAGGAAGACCAUUCCUAGCAACUGGUAGAGCAAUAUUAGAUAUACAUGAGAGAAAACUCAUGCUUAGAGUGGGCGAGGAGACUGUGAUUUUUGAGAUGGAUGUAAAAUCGGGGGUAAAAAGGGAGAAGCUAGCUGCUAGUGUUGUGUGGAAAGUGAAAGGCGAGAAAGAGAAGACUGCGGCGAGUGAAAAAGAUAAGUGUGGGGUGUAUCCAAGGAAGGCCGAGAAGAAGUUAUCUGCAUGGAUGUGUACAUUAGUUAGGGCGCUUGGGAUGGAGCCCAACUUCGAUUCAAACCCCGACUAGAUGUUCAAGGAAGUUGUCCUUACCUCUUUCUUUUUAUUUGUAUGUCACAGGGACAUGACACAAUUUAAAGUGUGGGGUAGAGAUGUAUAUAUNNNNNNNNNNNNNNNNNNNNNNNNNNNNNNNNNNNNNNNNNNNNNNNNNNNNNNNNNNNNNNNNNNNNNNNNNNNNNNNNNNNNNNNNNNNNNNNNNNNNNNNNNNNNNNNNNNNNNNNNNNNNNNNNNNNNNNNNNNNNNNNNNNNNNNNNNNNNNNNNNNNNNNNNNNNNNNNNNNNNNNNNNNNNNNNNNNNNNNNNNNNNNNNNNNNNNNNNNNNNNNNNNNNNNNNNNNNNNNNNNNNNNNNNNNNNNNNNNNNNNNNNNNNNNNNNNNNNNNNNNNNNNNNNNNNNNNNNNNNNNNNNNNNNNNNNNNNNNNNNNNNNNNNNNNNNNNNNNNNNNNNNNNNNNNNNNNNNNNNNNNNNNNNNNNNNNNNNNNNNNNNNNNNNNNNNNNNNNNNNNNNNNNNNNNNNNNNNNNNNNNNNNNNNNNNNNNNNNNNNNNNNNNNNNNNNNNNNNNNNNNNNNNNNNNNNNNNNNNNNNNNNNNNNNNNNNNNNNNNNNNNNNNNNNNNNNNNNNNNNNNNNNNNNNNNNNNNNNNNNNNNNNNNNNNNNNNNNNNNNNNNNNNNNNNNNNNNNNNNNNNNNNNNNNNNNNNNNNNNNNNNNNNNNNNNNNNNNNNNNNNNNNNNNNNNNNNNNNNNNNNNNNNNNNNNNNNNNNNNNNNNNNNNNNNNNNNNNNNNNNNNNNNNNNNNNNNNNNNNNNNNNNNNNNNNNNNNNNNNNNNNNNNNNNNNNNNNNNNNNNNNNNNNNNNNNNNNNNNNNNNNNNNNNNNNNNNNNNNNNNNNNNNNNNNNNNNNNNNNNNNNNNNNNNNNNNNNNNNNNNNNNNNNNNNNNNNNNNNNNNNNNNNNNNNNNNNNNNNNNNNNNNNNNNNNNNNNNNNNNNNNNNNNNNNNNNNNNNNNNNNNNNNNNNNNNNNNNNNNNNNNNNNNNNNNNNNNNNNNNNNNNNNNNNNNNNNNNNNNNNNNNNNNNNNNNNNNNNNNNNNNNNNNNNNNNNNNNNNNNNNNNNNNNNNNNNNNNNNNNNNNNNNNNNNNNNNNNNNNNNNNNNNNNNNNNNNNNNNNNNNNNNNNNNNNNNNNNNNNNNNNNNNNGGUAAAUGCAUGACUGCCCGACCGACCGUAGCUCGGUGGUAAAUGAAAAUGCAUGUCUGCCCAACCGGCGGUAAAUAAUAAUACAUAACUUCCCAACUGGUGGUAACUGCCCGACCGGCCGUAGCACGGUGGUAAAUGAAUAUGCAUGAAAAUGCAUGUAUUACUAUAUUAUAAACAUUAAUAUCUUUUUCAAAUACCUCAAUAGAGAUUUAGGAAUAUGCUUAGACAUGCUUGAAUAUCACUUUAGAGGAAUGAAUAAUAUAGACAUCCUUAACUACUAAGAGUAGAACAACUUAUGGAAUAGCAUUAUGUAUACGUAUCGUUACUUGGAUCAUGCCAAAAGAAGGAAGGAUUAGCCUUAACAUACCUGAUCCGAUUCUCUUAAAAUUACUCCUCCUGUUGGUAUUAUGCGAUAGUUUCAUGUGAGUUUCUUGUUGAAGCUUCACCCGACACAUAAUAGUCACCAUUCUACAGGACAUGCCUUUGCUUUGUGUUAAAUCUUGCUUUUUCAUUCAUCCUUCUUAUAGGAUUAAACUUGAGGUGCAUGCAUGUUUCUAUCUUACUUCUUCAUAUUUAAUUAUCCUAAAAUACUUCUUUACAAUGAUCUAUAAUCCCAACUUUCGAUUGCUACUUUGGUCAAGUCAUCUCAAAAUAGAACUGUGCUGGCAUAAAAGAUGGCAAUAAAAGGGAGAUGGAUUGAGAAAAUAUUCCAAAUAGCCGGGAUGUAACAAUUAUUGAAAUAAGGCGAAAGAUGCACUAUUGUGAAAAAGUAUGAGCCACUUGAAUCGAAAAAGAAAAUGAAGAAAAAAAAUAGUUUAUAUUCAUUAAUAGUGGUAACUCUUGAUGUAUUUUUGCUUAAAGAAGUUGGGAGUUGACAUAUACGGAUGUGAAGGUGGAGUUAUGGUUUGACAUAAGUGUAGGGUUUAAAGGUUAAGUAUAUAUGUAUUAAAAGUGCUUAGGUAAGUAUAGUUACUCUUAUAUCUAAAUGUAUCCUACCCGUCCCGCAGCCUACAUUACAACCAAUUAAAGUCCAACUUGAUCCUUGACUGAAUGAUCUCGAUUAGUUGAGUAAUACACUAUGGGUAAGCCUAUGGUUCAUCUUUUGUGGAUUAUGAAUGUUUUUCCGAGAGUGAGUGAAUUCUUUCUAUCUUGAGUUCCUAGUUGUUCUUGAUGUCUAUUGUGUGGAACUACUCUCGAUUAUUGUGUUAGGGCACUUGAUUCAUGAAGGAAAGGUAAUGUCGUGGACCUCUAUGUUAGAGUAAGUGAGUAAGUUGCGAAUAAUGCGUGAUACUUGUGAGUCAAUUCUUGAGGUGAAAAUGUUACACUAUUGUGCUUAGUCUAUUUUAAAUAUUCUAGGUGUAAUGAGUUAGGGGAGUUGUUUAAAAAGGUCGUGUCUAUAUAAAGUGUGGUUUGAUUGCUUGAGGACGAGCAAUGGUUUAAGUGUGGAGUGUUGAUGGUAGGCUAUAAUCUUGUAUUUUAGUCGCUUAUUGCACUCUAUUUUACUGUACUUUAAUUGAAUUGGAGCUUUAAUCGCUAGUGUUUUGCACUUAUUGUGUGUUUUAUGCCCUGUAGGAGUGAUUCCGAUCAAUGUAGAUGUUAUGGAAUGAAUUCAAGCUAUUUUGGAGCUUUUAAGUCUGAGUAAAAGCCCAAGGAUUAAGUCGGGAUUGAGUUUGGGGAUCAACGGAUGAUAGUGGAACGAAACAAAGAAUCGAAUAGGCAUAUUGUGCAGUGUCCAAUAAAAUGUACAUAACUUUUAGCUCGGAACUCCGUUUAGUCUCCCCAAUAUAUCAUUGGAAAACUAUUUAAAAGGGAUACAACUUUCAUGUUUUACACUUUCUUAAAUUCCAAACGUAUAGAACCCAGGUGCGCGACCAAGUGCACAGUCGCGCAUUGGGCGCGCACUUGGGGCAGAAUGGUGUGCAAAGUACGCGACCAAGUGUGCGGUCACGCAUGUCAUGUCCGGGAAAAGCCCUAUUUCUCUAAGAAAGGGUAGUUUUGUUUGGAAUUUGCUUUGGGGGCAGAUUAAAUACCCCAACACACCAUUUGUGACACACUUUUAACAUACCUUAGACCUAGGGAGGCUUAGGAGAAGAAUGAGAAGCAAGAGCACAAGGAAUUCAUCCAUCCUUCCUCACUCAAAUCCGGGUUUGGAUUGUAUUUAUAUUUUUUUCUAUUUUUGUUUCAUUUGUGAAGAACUCGUCCAUGUCUAUGGAGUAGAACCUUUUGGGUUUUGAUGGAUUUGGUGUAUUGAUGGUUGUUUGUGGAUUAUAACUCUAUUUUUAUAUAUUUGAAUCAUUUUUGGAAGAUUUAAUUGUUGCAUCUAUGUUCACUUGUUCUUGUAAUCGAUAGAGACAUAACUUGUGAUAUAUUUACACUAUAUUAUUGGUUGAGUUCAUAGAUUCUUCUAAGUAAUCGAAAGAGCCUAGUUGAAUCCUUAAUUAAACCUAGUUAGGAGGAUAAUCGAAAGAGGUUCUCCUAAAGAUUAAUCCAUUACGAAUUCUUGCAUAUCUUCACCGAGCUUAAAUUGGUUCAUAUUGUGAGAUUGAAACUUAAUCGAGAGAGGAGUUUCUACUAAACAUUUGUACUGAUAAUUAAGUGAAUUCGAGACACUCACUUGAACAUUAGAAGUGAAUUAUCUAGAGUUAGAUUCCGAACAAUUAUCUUGCACUUAUCCUAUCAACCCAUAUUUUCUCCCAUUGAUAACUUCCUUGCUUACCUUUAUUGAGAUUGCCAUUAGUCAAUAGUUUAGGUUCUUAUUUAGUUUCAAUUCUUAAUUGUAUAAAUCUCCAUUGUUGAUCCUCCUGGAUAGAAAUCGAGCUACGAACUAUGAGAAUACUAUUUAAAUCUAAUCCUUGUGGAGACGAUAGUUAUACUAUGCUAUCUUUGACUAGCGAGCACAAUUUAAGUCAGUGACCGAAGUGUUUAGAUAAGAUGGAUGGGCUGUAGUGAUUAGAGGCGAAUAAGCGGCGUGUCCCAUUGUAAAUCGUAAGUUCUAGGGUCGCAAAUUCCGCGAAUCAAGGUAACGUCAUGGUGGUUGACGUCAUUAUGGCACAAUUUCCCGAGACACUGCUUCGUUUCGCAUGCACCUCCUGAUAGAGCCUACCUCUUACAUAAUGAUGGUCAAUUUCUUGGUUUUGAUGCCUGCAUCUCUAUAAAUAGAGGUGUGUGGGUAACGUUCUAACAUUUACGAAACUUCUUGUACCCAGCAAACUCAACAUCUUCCUCUUCCUCCAUUGUUUGAAAUUCCUUAGUGGUUUUAGGGAUUUUUACUACUUUCUAUAUUUAUGUGCUUAAAACAUAUUUUCUCACAAAUAUGGUUAACAUAACUUCUGGUUCUGAUAUGGUGGCUGACCCUACCCCCUUGGUGAUACGUAUGCCUCUUCACGGCGAUGGUGUUUCUGUUGCCCUUGAAGAUGAGAGGUUUCCUACAGUGGAAGAAAUAAUUCCUUUCAGUGAAAAGAUUAGAUCUGAUUUUUGAAGUUGCGUGAAGAUGAUCCUGAGGCCUCGAAGUCGAUGAUGAAUGAGGUCGACCUCGCUGAGUUUAGGACAAAGUUCAAAAUUCCGAAUCACAUCGAUCUGAUUUCGGCGGGGAGCGAAUUGGUACAGAUACAUCGCCCAAGAUAUUGUGCGUUCUAUGCGUAUCCGUUCUAUGUAGGCUAUUCUUUUCCUCUUCUUCCAUUGGCGAAGGAAUUUUGCUGCUACUACGGUGUCUGCCCGACCCAACGCUCCCCUUAUAUCUACAAGCUUAUCUGUAUGUUGACGAAAUAUACGGAAUUGGCUGGACGUGGGGUCUCACUUCGCCAUCUGGUGCAUCUCUUCGCCCCUAGUUUCUAUAGGGGAUGAUGUUGCACCUUCGCCACCGAGGAAGUAAAAAUUUUGUGGUGAAGAUGGACAAUAAGGAAAACCGUCAGUUCUGGCUCAACUAUUUCUUUGUCAAGACCGAGGACGUGGUGGCCAACGCGAGCGGGUUCCCUGUGGCUUGGAAUUAUGCCCGUAAGUAUCUUUUGCCGAGCAUUUAUUUUGAUUAUUUUAGUCGUAGUCUAACAUUCCGUCCCCUCUUCGUGCAGCUGAGACUUCGCCUCCUCCCAUGGUCGGGGACAUUCAUGACUGGAUCAGCUAGGUCUUGCCUCACACAGUGGGGAUUCGUGAAUGGAUGACCUUUUUCAAGAAAUUCGGGCCUGCACCUUUCGUGACUGGUGAGUUCGUCUAUAUGUAUUUACUUAUGCUAUAUAAUUAUUACCUUUUGUUUAUACCGUUUUGAACUUAUGGUCACCUGCUCGUUGCAGUUUUGUACAGGAAGUGACAAUCUUCUGAUUUUUUUUUAUUUUUCAGCCCGAGGACCUUUGAGAAGGAAGAAGACUCAUGCUCCAGCGUUUUGUAAGAGGAAGGUUGUUUCUGUUCCUUCUGUUGUGGUGAGGUCUUCUCGGUCGUUGACCAUUCCUGCAGCACGUCUUUCAACUUCCCCUUUGCAUCAUCUAGUAUACGAGGACGAUGAGGAGGAAUCGUCAUCGAAUGGUGAUAACUUGGUUCCCCGUAAGAGGCGAUCUAUGGAUGUUGGCGAAGGGGCUGCCCGGGAGGCGAGUUCGGUGAUAGGGGAUUUUGUAGUGUGAGAAAUGACACCAUAGAACUUGGAGGUGACGACGAAUUACUGCCCGUGAUUCCGCCAUCGUCGGGAGCCGAGGAGGGUACGUCUCUCCCGGAGACUAUGAUGGAUUUUGAAGUGCCGUCGGUGAGAGGCUCUGAUGACUUAUGGCGAAAUGAGACAUCGGCCUCGUUACCGGCCGAGGAUCCUUCUUCUCGGGUCGAGACAAGAGGAAAAAGCAACGCCAAAGAAGGUUACGAGACGGGCUCCGAUAUGGAUACCGAGGAAGUGAGGAUGAUGAGGGAAGUACUUACCUGACUUGAGGUUAGAUUGGAGGGGAUCACGUAGACUAUUAUGAUCCCCUUGGAUCGGGAUUUGCUGGUUGACACAGAGGGCGUGGUCCCUUCUCUUGGUCCCCUCUGUUCCGAAGUGGAAAAUAAGACCCUUGAGAAGCUUAAGGAUGCCACUUUAUCGAGGAGCAUAGCCGGCCUCGCUCUUAGGGUAAGCUUUCCAUUUUCUCUCUGUUUUUUAUGUCGAGUUUAAAGUUUGGUUCUGACUCCUCAUUUUAUGUCUUUCUUUCAGAUCGUGAUUUUGGAGAUCGAGAGAGCCCGGCGAGAGGAGAGGUGUAAGGCCAUUUUCCAGAAGAUGGAGCGGAAAUAUCGCAAAUACCGUGAUAAGAACCGCGAGAUCUACAGGCGGUUCAGUGGGAGCGGCAAUUUCCAGGCUCUCCGAGGUGAACUGAAGGAGAAAGAUGACGAGUUGAUGAGGGUCAUCGGAAAAUGCAGCGUUCUCGAAGGGGCGUUGAGGGACAAAGAAGAAUAAUUUGAGGUGAGCAAGGGGGUCGAGGCCCAAUGCACCGAUCUUCAGGCCCAGGUGGAUUCGUUGCAUGCCGAGCUCGAGGAGUGUUGGCUAAGAGCGGAGGCUCUGACUGGCGAGGUCGCUGAGAAGGGAUCAUGUUUAGAGAAGACAGAGUUGGCCCGAUUGUCGACUGCGAGGAAAGCGGAGGCUUUAGAGAUCGUGAUCCGUAUUCUUCGUCCUGAGCGGGAGAGUGCUCUGGAGACAGAUAGUCUUAGAGAGUAGUGACUUGAUGAUCGUAUAUAGGAGUUGGAAAAGGAGGUUUUGAGCCUUAGCGAUCGAGUCGCUGCUCUCGAGGUUGAGAAGGCGCAGUUAUUGGCUCAGCCAUCCUCUUCUCAUGCUUCUGCUUUUCCUGAUGUUCUGCGGGACUUGUACGAGGAAUGGAUUCACACCGAGGCCCAACUGGAUAUAUUUAGGGAUCUGAUAGGGGCAGAAGCUAUCUCAGAAACCGACUUCGAGGAUGCUCAUGCUAAGACGCGUAAAACUCGGUUUGCUUGUGGCUAUGAUCCCGCCACACCGGAAGCCGAUGACGAUGAGGAGGAUACGGGCAUGGAUCGGAUUGAAAAGGACGCCUGUACGAAGGUGAGUAUCCUGCUAGCGAUGGCGAUGGGGUAGGUGGAUAUGGUCUGGGCGAUCAAGCUAGAGGUGUUACUGGGUUAGGCGGUGAUUAGUUCUUCUUCUUUUUCUCUCUAGCCUUAUACGUAUGUAUUUUGUAGGCGUGUAUUCGAGCCUUUGUAAAGAAAAAUAUUCUAAGUAUGGGAUGUUAGUUUUGUUGUUCGUACCUGAUUUGUUUUUCCUUGUUCGGGUUUGUAUGCUUUUUGAUUUUUGUUGCUUGGUUGACUUUGUCAUAGAUUUGUUGGAGUAGGUUGAACGAGGUUGAAACGAAGCCUAGGUUUGAUUGUGGCCGAGGGCCAGUAGGUGUUGGUUAGAGGUCGAACAUGUCACAUAUUUAGUUAAGGCCGUGGGCUGACUAGGUAUUAAUUUGAAUGAGGUCGAAGGUAACCUUUAAUUAGUUGAGGCCGGAACCGAUUAAGUGUUAAUUCAAACGAGGUCAAAUGUAACCUUCAUUUAGUUGAGGCCGGGGGCCGAUUAGAUAUUAUUUAAACGAGGUCGAAUGUAACCUUUACUUAGUUGAGACCGUGGGCCGAUUAGGUGUUAUUUCGAACGAGGUCGAAUGUAACCUUCAUUUAGUUGAGGUUGUGGGCCGAUUAGGUAUUAAUUCGAAUGCGGUCGAAUAUAACCUUUAAUUAGUUGAGGUCGUGGGCCGAUUAGGUAUUAAUUCGAACGAGAUCAAAUGUAACCUUUUCUUGGGGAGAACAAAAAUAAACUUCAUGUACUUGUGCCUUGUUCAUAUUCUUGAAGAGAUUUACAUAUUUUCUGGGUGCUGGCUGGUGUUCAGUCCCAAUCCCGAUCUAUCUAAUCCAUUCAUUGGUUAAACUGGAAAAAUAGUGAGAGAUCGAGCAAUGAACUAGUCGCCCAGUGUCUUCGUCUGUGCGCACUUCAAUCUUGAAGUAUCCCCGUCAUCGCCUCAUAAAAACCUCUUCGAGAAAACCCAAUUGGGACAAAAUUCGAGUGAGGGAAAAAGAGUGCAACUUUGGGGACCUCGUCCUUUAAAAGUUGAAGUACUUGUGGUGUGUAAUGUUCCAAUUAUUUGGUAGUUACUUUAAAAUUCAGGUUUAUGGUUUUUACCUUGAUUUUGUCUAUCGACGAGUUGAGGAGGCGGACCACAUUUUUGUCUCCAGUUGUAAUGUUUUUGGUGGCUGCUGCUAAUUUGGCGAGGCCGUCCACCUCAAUAUUCUGUGCUCGGGGGAUCUGGUCGAGCUGAUAUUCGUCGAACUCGGGUAGUAGUUUGUAGAUUUUGGUAUGGUAUUUAUGUAACCUCUGCUCCUUGAUUUGGAAAGUCUCUCUGACUUGGUUGACCACGAGCUGAUAAUCACAUGGCAACCUCAUCCGCUUUACCCCGUAUUUGAGUGCUAGUCUUAAUCCUGCAAUUAUAGCCUCAUACUCGGCCUCGUUGUUAGUCAUGUCCGGGCAUCUUAUGUACUGGAAAAUCACUUCGCCUAUUGGAACUUCGAGGACGAGCCCCAGCUCGGACCCCGACGCAUUAGAUACGCCGUCGGUAUACAGGACCCAGAGGUCUCGUGUUUGGGAAGAAGUGUGGACGGCUUCCUUUUCGACUUCGGGCAUUAUUUGUGCACUGAAGUUGGCGACGAAGUCGGCGAGGACCUAUGACUUUAUCGUCAUUCGCGGUCGAUAGGUAAUAUCGUGCUCGCUUAGUUCGAUUGCCCAUUUGGCCAAUCUGCCCGAUGGUUCGAGUUUGUGUAAAAUACUUCUUAAGGGGAAAGUCAUGAUGACCGAGAUGGGAUGGCAUUGGAAAUACGACCUAAGUUUUCGUGAAGCUACGACUAAGGCCAGAGCCAGUUUAUCAAGAUGGGGGUACCUGGUCUCGGCAUUGACUAGUGUCUUGUUAAUGUAAUAGAUGGGAGAUUGCGUACCUUUAUCUUCUUGGACUAAGACCGCGCUCACAGCUACUCUGGACACGAUGAGAUAGAAGAGGAGAGGAUGUACUGGUUUCGGUUUUGAGAGUAACGGUGGUGAGGACAAGUACACAUUUAACUCCUUCAGGGCUUGGACGCACUCAGGGGUCCUUUGGAGGACGUUUUCCUUUUUUAGUAUGCCGAAGAACUUGUGGCACCUAUCGGAGGAUUGUGAGAUGAACCUCGAAAGGGCGACGAUACAGCCAGUCAGAUUAUGGACCUGCUUUUUGGUGGUCAAGUGCUCUGGUAUCCCGCCGAUGGCCUUGAUUUAGUCGGAAUUGACCACGAUACCCCGCUGCGACACUAGGAAACCCAAGAAUUUCCCAGAGGCCAUGCCGAAUGCACAUUUUUCUGCGUUCAAUUUCAUGCUGUAUUGCCUGAGUAUGCCAAAGUCUUCUCUUAAGUGUUCGAUGUGAUCUUCUUUCCUUUUGGAUUUGACCAGUAUGUCGUCUAUGUAUACCUCCAUCAUUUGUCCGAGUUGUUCUUUUAACAUCUUCGUCACCAGCCUUUGGUAAGUUGCUCCCACAUUUUUCAAUCCAAAAGGCAUGACCCUAUAGCAGUACGUCCCCUGGUGGGUGAUGAAGGUGGUCUUUUCCUGGUCUUAUUCCUCCAUAAGGAUCUGGUUGUAGCCCGAGUAGGCAUCCAAGAAACUUAGUAAAUCAUGACCGGCUAUUGCGUCGAUAAGCUGGUCGAUAUGAGGUAAUGGGAAUGAAUCCUUGGGGCAAGCUUUGUUCAGGUCGAUGAAAUAUACACACAUCCGCCACUUGCCAUUCUUCUUUUUCACCAUGAUCACGUUGGUGACCCAUUGGGGGUACUUCGAUUCCCCGACGAAACCAUUUUCCAAUAAUUUUUCCAAUUCUUCGUUCACUGCAUCAUCGAUUGCAGCGUUGAACUUUUGUCGAACCUGCCUUACUGGGUGGUAGAGUGGAUCGACGUUUAAUUUGUGUGUGGCGAUCUCCUUUGGGAUACCUGGCAUAUAUGCAUGGCUAAAAGCAAACAAGUUCGCGUUAGCAGUUAAAAAUUCACGAAACUUACCCGGUUCUUCAAUUUUGCAGCCUAUGUAAACUUUCUUAUUGUGGUCGUUGUCGUAUAAUAGGACGGGGUCGAGGUCUUCUAUGGUCGAUCCUGCGGCCUUGACAGAAUAGGGGUUUUGAUGAAGUCUUCGCUGUCAUCGCUUACCGACCUCGACCCUGUUGAUUGCUAUGGCUCUUUCUUUCUGUCUCUCAUUUAUUGGGUGGCCGUGCAGUCUAGGGCGAUGCGGUAGCACUCUUGGGAUGUGUGUUGCUCCUCGCAUAUGCUGAAUAUGACCCAUGGAGUUGGGAAUUUGAUGGCUUAGUACAAGCUGUAGGGGAUAACUCUCAUGGUGUGUAUCCAUGGUCACCCUAUUAUGGCAUUGUAUGUUGUGUCCUAGUCCAUGAUGUGGAAUGGGGUUUCCAGAGUGACGCCACCUGCCAGGAUGGGGAGUGUGAUCUCACAGGAUGUUCACUCAACUGUAUUGUUAAAGCUUGUUAGUGUGAUGCAGCGUGGUACUAUCUUGUCCUCGAGUUUCACUUGUGUGAGAACUCGAGGAUGGAUAAUACACGCGCCGCUCCCACCAUUAACCAUAAUUUGUCUUAGUCAGUAUCUAAAAUUCAUAAAGUAAUAACGAGAGUGCCAUAGUGAGGGAUGCCAAACCGUUAGUACCUGACUUAUCGAUGAUGAUACUUUCUUCGAGUUCAUCAUACCGUUCGUGGGUGAUCAACCGUUUGAGCUUGUGGGUUGUGGUGAACUUCACAUUUUUGAUGGAAGCGUCAUCCCCACCACCGAUGAUCAUGUGGAUGGUACGGGCUGGCGAGGGUGGCUUCGGCGGCCCUUGAUGUUGUUCGCGUCCCCUGGCAAAGUUUGUCCUUCCCCGAUCGCUCAACAAUUCUUUGAGGUGUCCCUGUCGCAAUAUGUUUAUGACCUCCUAUCUUAAGGCGAUGCAAUCUUAGGUUUUAUGUCCUCGCUCUUGGUGGGACUCGCAGAGGGCGUCUUAUUUUCUGUUAUUCGGGUCCGACCUCUUCUUUUGUGGCCACUUUACCUUUGGUCCAAGCUUCUCCAAGGCGUAGACGAUCUCCGUGGGACACACGCAAAAAUUAUUGUCACGACCCAAAAUUUCACAUGUCGUGAUGGCGCCUAUCUUAACACCAGGCAAGCCGAUAACCUCAAUAAAACACUAUAAUCUCUUAAGUUUGAAAACAUAAUAUGUAGAUGUAACAGAAAAUCCCACAAAUUGUUUUUUGAUACAAUUACACUCCAAAAAUCCGGUGUCACUGAGUACAUGAGCAUCUAAAUGAUAACAUAGUCUGACUGAUAAAAACACUGUCUGAAAAUAUAGAACAGUACAAUAACUGAAGGGAAGGAGAGACAAGGUAUGCAAACACCGACAAUUACCUCAAAAUCUCCGGAAGAUCAACUACGCGAAGAAAUCAACACCCACUGUAUCCGGGAACACAUGGAUCUGCACACGAAGUGCAGGGUGUAAUAUGAGUACAACCAACUCAGUAAGUAACAAUACUAAAUAAAGAACUGAAAGUAGUGACGAGCUUCACAGCUAAGGCCAAUUUUAGUAAUUUAAAACAUAAGAAAGUAGGCAUGCUUGCAAGUACAAUAAUUAAGGCCCAAACAGUAAUUUCAUAUCAAGUUCAACUGAAAUAGAAGAUAAUAUCUCCCAGAAAUUUCCAAAACAGUGAUAUAUGACAACUGAAGUGCAACAAUAAUGAAAUCAGUGCAUCCUCUCAGAGCAACAGUCACUCAUUCCUCCCAUUCACUCAGCACUCGACACUCGCACUCAGUAGGUACAUGCGCUCACUAGGGGUGCGUACAUAUUCCAGAGGGGCUUCUUCAGCCCAAGCGCUAUAAUCUGCGCGGACAACUCACGUGCUGCGCGGACAACUCACGUGCUAAAGUAUAAUAUCUGGAUCCGCACGGACAACUCACGUGCUGCACGGACAACUCACGUGCUAUAGUAUAAUAUCUGAAUCCGCACGGAUAAAUCACGUGUUGCACGGAUAACUUAUGUGCUGCACGGAUAACUCACGUGCUAUAAUAUCAAUAUCUCACAUCAGGCCCUCGGCCUCACUCAGUCAUAAAUCUCUCCAGUCUCACGGGCUCUCAGUAAUCAUGAAAGUCAUCCCCAACAGAAAUGAUAUAACGUAUCAACAAGGAAUAAUAAAGACUGAGAUAUAAUAACAAGUAAAACUGUGACUGAGUACAAAAUAACAAUUUAGCAAAUAAUUCAACACGUACAUGAACUCUGUGGGUCCCAACAAUAUUACCACAUAGUCUAAACAUGAUUUAUGGUUCAAUUUUUCUACUACAUGGAGAAUGUACAAAUAACAACAGAUUAUUCAACUACAUGAUUCCACAAAAUUUGACCAAGUCACAAUUCCUACGGUGCAUGCACCACACGCCCGUCACCUAUCAUGUGCGUCACCUUAAAACUAAAUACAUGACACGUAAUGUUGGGUUUCAUACUUUCAGAACCAAAUUUAGAACUGUUACUUACCUUAAUCCGUGAAUUUCUUCACUCCAAUAUGCAUUGGCCUUCCGAAUUGGCCUCCGAAAGCCUCGUAUCUAGUCACAAUUAAUUCAAUUCAGUUAAUACAAAUUAUAGGAACUAAUUCCACAUGAAAAUACUAAUUUUCCAACAAAAUUUGAAAUUUAACUCAAAAAUCUCCUGUGGGACUCAUGUCUCGGAACCCGAUAAAAGUUUACAAAAUAUGAGCGCCCACUCAACCGCGAGUCCAACCAUACCAAAAUUACUAAACUCUAAUAACAAUUCGGCCCUCAAAUCCUCAAAUUAAUCCAAGAGGGUUUUCAAAAUAUUUCAACUUUAAUCACUAAUUAAAUGCUAAAAAUGGCAAUAGAUUCGGGUAAUUUGACCAAAAUUGAGUUAAGAACACUUACCCUACUGUUUUUCUUGAAAAUAUUCUGAAAAUCACCUCUCCCCGAGCUCCACUUCUUCGUGAACGCGGCCACUUCCUCGCGUUCGCGAAGCACAAAAUUCUGUUGCCAAAAGUUCCUCCUUCGCGAUCGCGAAGUCACCCUCACGAACGCGGUGCCUUACAAGGCUUGACCUUCGCGAACACGUCCCCAUGACCGCGAAUGCGAUGCCUUAUCGCCUGGUGCCCAACCUGGCCUCGCUAUUCUACGUUAACGCGAACACCCUCCGCGUCCGCGAUGAACACUGGCCAUCACUCUUCGCGAACGCGAUCCCCUCUUCGUGAACAUGAAGAACAAAUUCUCGCAUGCCUCCAGUUGCCCUUUGGGAAUGUGAUAACCCCAUCACGAACGCGAAGAAGAAAACCAGACAGUGCAUUAGAAAUUUCCAGCAAAGUUCAAAGUCCAAAAUUCAAUCCGUUAACCAUCCGAAACUCACCCGAGGCCCCCGGGACCUCAACCAAAUACACCAACUAGUCCUAAAAUAUCAUACGAACUUAGUCGAACCUAUAAAUCACAUCAAAUAAUGAUAGAAACAUGAAUCAUACCCCAAUUCAAGCUUAAUGAAACUAAAAAAUUCCAACAAAUUCCAACUUCUACAUUUGAUGCUGAAACCUAUCAAAUCAAGUCCGAUUGACCUCAAAUUUUGCAAAAAAAAUCAUAAAUGACAUAAUGGACCUAUGAAAAUUUUCAGAACUGGAUUCCGACCCCGAUAUCAAAAAGUCAACUCCCCGGUCAAACUUUCAAACUUAAACACCCUAUUUUCGUUAUUUCAAGCCUAAUUUAGCUACGGGCUUCCAAAUAAUUUUUUGGAUACUCUCCUAAGUCCAAAAUCACCAUACGGAACUAUUGGAAUCAUUAAAACUCUAUUCCAGGAUCGUUUACACAUAAGUCAACAUUCGAUCAACCUUUUCAACUUAAGUUUUCAUCUUUGAGACUAAGUGUCUCAAUUCAUUUUGAAAUUUCACCGGACUCGAACCGAUUACCCCGACAAGUCAUAUAACCAUUGUAAAGCAAAAAUUGAGCAGUAAAUGGGGGAACAUUGCUGUAAUACUCAAAACGACCGGCUGGGUCGUUAUAUUCUUCCCCUCUUAAACAAACGUUUGUCCUCGAACGGGUUUAGAAUCAUACCUAGAGUCUCAAAUAGGUGUGAGUAUUUGCUUUGCAUCUCACGCUCAGUCUCCCAAGUAGCUUCUCCGACCGGCUGGCCUCUCCACUAUACUUUCACUGAAGCUAUAUUCUUUGAUCUGAACUUUUAAACCUGCCGGUCUAAAAUGGUCACCGACUCCUCAUCAUAAGUCAAAUUACCAUCCAACUGAACUGUAUUGAAAUCCAAAAUAUGAGACGGAUCUCCGACAUACUUCUGGAGCAUAGAUACAUAAAAUAUUAGAUGAACACCCGAUAGAUUAGGUGGCAAUGCAAGUUCAUAAGCCACAUCCCCAAUCUUCUUAAGUAUUUCAAAAGGCCCAAUAUACCUAGGACUCAACUUGCCCUUCUUCCCGAACAUCAUAACACCUUUCAUAGGCGAAACUCUGAGUAGUACCUUCUCUCUUACCAUAUAAGCAACAUCAUGGACCUUCCGAUCUGCAUAACUCUUCUGUCUAGACUGCGUCGUGCGGAGCCGUUCCUUAAUCAAUUUAACCUUCUCCAACGCAUCCUGAACCAAAUCAGUACCCAAUAUCCUAGCCUCACCCGGCUCAAACUAACCCACCGGAGACCGAUAACGUCUCCCAUAUAAAUCCUCAUACGGAGCCAUCUGAAUGCUCGACAGGUAACUGUUGUUGUAGGCAAACUCCACGAGUGGUAUAAACUGAUCCCAAGAACCCCUAAAAUCUAUAACACAAGCGCAUAACAUAUCUUCCAAUAUUUGAAUAGUGCACUCGGACUGUUCGUCCGUCUGCGGGUGAAAUGUUGUACUCAAUUGAACCUGUGUGCCUAAUUCUCGCUGCAUUACUCUCUAAACCUGUGAUGUAAACUGCGUGCCCCGAUCUAAAAUGAUGGACACUUGCACAUCAUGAAGGCGAACAAUCUCACGGAUAUAAAUCUCAGCCAAUCGCUCCAAAGAAUAAGUAGUACUGACUGAAAUAAAAUGUGUGGACUUGGUCAACUGAUCUACGAUCACCCAAACAACAUCAAACUUCCUUAAAGUCCAUUGGAGUCCAAAAACGAAGUCCAUGGUAAUACGCUCCCAUUUUUAUUCCGGAAUUUCAAGUCUCUGAAGAAAUCUGCCCGGUCUCUGAUGUUCGUACUUCACUGUUGACAAUUUAAACACCAAGGUACAUAUCCAACUAUAUCUUUAUUCAUUUUUCUCCACCAAUAGUGCUGCCUCAAAUCCUGGUACAUUCUAGCAGCACCCGAAUGAAUGAAAUACUGUGAACUGUGGGCUUCUUCAAGAAUCAAUUCAUGCAGCCCAUCUACAUUUGGCAUACAAAUACGACCCUGCAUCCUCAACAUCCCAUCAUCUCCAAUAGUAACAUCUUUGACAUAACCGUGCUGAACUGUGUCAUUCAGGACACGCAAAUGGGGAUCAUCAUACUGGCGCUCUCUGAUACGAUCAUAUAAAGAAGACUGAGAAACCACACAAGCAAGACCCCGACUGGGCUCCGAAAUAUCUAAUCUCACAAACUGGUUGGCCAAGGUCUGAACAUCAACUGCAAGAGGCCUUUCACCAACAGGAAUGAAUACAAGGCUACCCAUACUCACCGCAUUUCUACUCAAGGCAUCAGCCACCACAUUGGCCUUCCCAGGAUGAUACAGAAUAGUAAUAUCAUAAUCUUUUAGCAGUUCCAACCAUCUCUGCUGCCUCAAAUUUAGAUCAUUAUAUUUGAAUAAGUGUUGAAGACUCUGAUGAUCUGUAAAUACCUCGCAAGACACACCGUAAAGAUAGUGCCUCCAAAUCUUCAAUGGAUGAAUAAUAGCUGCCAACUCCAAAUCAUGAAUAGGGUAGUUAUUUUCAUGGGGCUUUAACUGACGUGAAACAUAAGCAAUCACUCUACCCUUCUGCAGCAAGACACACUCAAUACCAAUCCGAGAAGUAUUACAAUACACUGUAUAGGAGCCUGAAGCUGAAGGCAAAACGAGAACAUGAGUUGUGGUCAAGGCAGUCUUGAGCUUCUGAAAGCUCUCUUCACACUCAUUUGACCACCUGAAUGGAGCUCCUUUCUGGGUCAAUUUAGUCACAGGUGCCACAAUAGACGAGAAUCCUUCCUCAAAGCGAUGAUAAUACCCCGCCAAGCCAAAAAGACUUUGAAUCUCAGUAGCUGAAGAUGGCCUCAACCAACUCUGAACUGCCUCUAUCUUCUUUGGAUCCACCUUAAUUCCUUCACUGGACACUAUGUGUCCUAAGAAUGCCACCGAACUGAGCCAGAACUCAUACUUAGAGAAUUUGGCAUAAAGUCUCUCCUCUCUCAGCCUCUGUAAUACAAUACCCAACGGUUGUGCAUGAUCCUUCUGGCUACGUGAGUACACUAGGAUAUCAUCAAUAAAUACUACGAGAAAUGAAUUAAGAUAUAGAUGGAAUACACUAUUCAUCAAGUGCACAAAUAUUGCUGGGGCAUUGAUCAGCCCAAAAUACAUCAUGAGAAAUUCAUAGUGACUAUAACGAGUCCUGAAUGCCGUCUUUAGAAUAUCCGAAUCCCGAAUUUUCAACUGGUGAUACUGGAUCUCAAAUCAAUUUUGGAGAACACUCUCGCUCCCUAAUGUUGGUCAAAUAAAUCAUUAAUACGCAGCAAAGGAUACUUGUUCUUGAUUGUAACUUUGUUCAACUGCCUGUAGUCGAUACACAUCUGCAUAGUACCGUCUUUCUUUUUCACAAAUAGAACUGGUGCACCCUAAGGUGACACACUAGGCCUAAUAAACCCUUUGUCAAGAAGUUCCUGAAGUUGCUCUUUUAAUUCUUUCAAUUCAGCUGGUGCCAUAUGAUACGGAGGAAUAGAAAUGGGCUAAGUGCCCAACACCAAGUCAAUACCGGAAUCAAUAUCCAUGUCGGGUGGCAUACCUGGUAGGCCUGCAGGAAAUACAUCCGAAAAGUCUCGCACUACUGGUACAGAAUCAAUAGUAGGAGUGUCUCUAUCAACAUCUCUCACAUAGCCAAAUAGGACAAAAAACCCUUCCCAACCAUACGUUGGGCCUUCAAAUAAGAGAUUACCCUGCUGGGAACAUAAUCUAGAGAACCUAUCCAUUCGACCUUCGGUAACCCCGACAUCGCCAACGUCACGGUCUUUGCAUGACAGUCCAAAGUAGCAUGACAUGGAGACAACCAAUACAUACCCAAGAUUACAUCGAAAUCAACCAUACUAAGCAAUAAGAGAUCAACUCUAGUCUCCAGUCCCCCAAUAGUUACCACACACGACCGAUAUACAUGGUCCACUAUAAUAGUAUCGCCCACCGGCGUAGAUACAUGAACAAGUGAAACUAAGGACUCAUGGGGCAUAUCUAGAUAAUGAGUAAAGUACGAUGAUGCAUACGAAUAAGUGGAACCAGGGUCAAAUAAUAUAUAAGCUUCCAUGCGGUACAUUGAGACAAUACCUAUGAUCACUGCAUCUGAAGCAACGGCAUCUGGCCUAGCAGGAAAAGCAUAGAAUCGGACCUGACUGCCACCUGAUCGGCCACCCCCUCUUGGGAGACCCCUAGCUGAUUGGGCCCCACCCGAGCUGGCUGGGCGGGUGGUGUAACUGCUGGUGCUGGUGCCAUCGGCCAAGAACUCUAUUUUGGAUCCCCACUUAACAACUAGGGCAAUCUCUCUUGAUAUAACCAAAGUCACCGCACUCAAAACAACCCCUCCUCUGACAGAACUGCUGGUCCUGAUAACCCGAGGCACUGCCUAUAAAAACCUGAGUAGACGAGGCAUAGUGAGAACUCUGCGCUGGUAGUGCACUUAAUGAAGACUGUCCUUAGUGAGCACUGUAAGAACCGUGGCUAGCUGAUGCACCAUGAUAAGCUGGACGAGUCGUCUGAGCGGGCCUAUAAGGGUGACCCCUAUUAUGGUAGGACUGACCCCCAGAAGGAACACCGCUAAAACCACCCGAUUCACAAGGCCUCUUGGCCUCCUUCUCUCCAUGCUCAUAGCUACAGACCAUCUCUAUCUUCCGCGCAAUGUCAACCACCUCGUCAAAAGUAGCACCAGAUACCCUCCCCCGAGUCAUAAGUAACUGCAGCUGAAAUGUGAGGCCAUCAAUGAACCUCCUAAUCCUCUCCCUAUCAAUGGGAACCAACCAAACUGCGUGACGAUCCAACUCAGAAACCUCAUCUUGUACUAGGUCACAGACAUGCCAUCCUGGUGAAGCUGCUCAAACUGUCUGCGCAGCUCCUCCCUGCAAGACUGCGGCACGAACUUCUCUAAGAAGAGAACGGAGAACUCAUGUCAUGUAAUUGGUACUGCACCGACCGACUUGCGCCUCUCAUAAGCCUCCCACCAUCUGAAGGUAGCCCAAGAAAACUGAAAAGUAGUGAAUGAGAUCCCACUGGUCUCUAGAAUACUCGUUGUCUGAAGCAUCCGUUGGCACUUAUACAGGAAACUCUGAGCAUCCUCUGACUCAGCACCGCUAAAUGAUGGAGGUAGAAGCCUCCCAAAUCUCUCAAGUCUCCUAUGCUUAUCAUUAGCCAUAACGGAAACUACCGAGGCCUGAGCAGCUGCAACCGGCUGGGCUGGUAGUGCUCCCGGUAUCUGAAGUCCCUACACUACUUGCUCUGGGGUACGGGAAAUAGGGGAAUGAGUACCUCCCCCGGACUGAGAAGUGGCUGGUGCGGCCUGAGCCGAAACCACCUGAGCAAGGCAAGUGCAAACAGUCAAUAUCUGUGCUAGAGCCUCCUGAAGGCCUAAAAUCACAACAGGUACAGCUGGUGCCUGAGCUGGUCUCGCCGGCUCAACUAUAUCUGGAAUUUGCUCCUGAGUUGGAGAAACUGGUGGUGCUAUGGGUGCUGCUCCAACUACUGUACGAGCUACACCUCGACCUCAACCUCGGCCCCGUCCUCUACUACGGCCCCGACCUCUCGCGACCCUAACUGGUGGUUAACCAUCCGAUCUGGUAGUACGUGUCCUCACCAUUUGUGAGAGAAUAGAAUAACAAAAAUUUAGUUUCCGGAAUCACAAAUUCACACGAUAGAAUACAAGAAAGUGAAUUUUCCUAAGGGUUCGGCAACCUCUCGAAGAUAAGUACAGACGUCUCCGUACCGAUCCGCAAGACUCUACUAAACCUGCUCAUGACUUCUGAGACCUAUGUAACCUAGGCUUUGAUACCAAUUUGUCACGAUCCAAAAUUUCACAUGUCGUGAUGGCGCCUAUCUUAACCCUAGGCAAGCCGAUAACCUCAAUAAAACACUAUAAUCUCUUACGUUUGAAAACAUAAUAUGUAGAUGUAACAGAAAAUCCCAAAAUUUUUUUGAUACAAUUUUACUCCCAAAACCCGGUGUCACUGAAUACAUAAGCAUCUAAAUGAUAACAUAGCCUGACUGAUAAAAAUACUGUCUGAAAAUAUAGAACAGUAUAAUAACUGAAGGGAAGGAUAGACAAGGUCUGAGAACACCAACAGCUACCUCGAAAUCUCCAGAAGAUCAAUUGCACGAAGAAAUCAAUACCCAUUGUUUCCAGGAAGACCUGGAUAUGCACAUGAAGUAUAGGGUGUAGUCUAAGUACAACCAACUCAGUAAGUAAUAAGACUAAAUAAAGAACUGAAAGUAGUGACGAGCUUCACAACUAAGUCCAAUUACAGUAGGCAGGCUUGCAAGUAUAACAAUUAAGGCCCAAACAUUAAUUCCAUAUCAAGUUCAACUAAAAUAGAAGAUAAUAUCUCCCAAAAAUUUCCAAAAUAAUGAUAUAUGACAACUGAAGUGUAACAAUAAUGAAAUCAAUGCAUCCUCUCAGAGCAACAGUCACUCAUUCCUCCCACACUCAGCACUCGGCACUCACACUCAGUAGGUACCUGUGCUCAUUAGGGGUGUGUACAGACUCCGGAGGGGCUCCUUCAGCCCAAGCGCUAUAAUCCGCAUGGACAACUCACGUCUGCACAGACAACUCACGUGCUAAAGUAUAAUAUCUGGAUCAGCACAGAUAACUCACGUGCUGCACGAACAACUCACGUGCUAUAGUAUAAUAUCUGAAUCCACACGGACAACUCACGUGUUGCACAAACAAUUCGCGUGCUAUAGUAUCAAUAUCUCACAAUCAGGCCCUCGGCCUCACUCAGUCAUAAAUCUCUCCAGUCUCACGGGCUUUAGUAAUCAUGAAAGUCAGCCCCAGCAGAAAUGAUAUAACGUAUCAACAAGGAAUAAUAGAGAUUGAGAUAUAAUAACAAGUAAUACUGUGACUGAAUAUAAAAUAUCAAUUUAGCAAAUAAUUCAAUAGGUACAUGACCUCUGUGGGUCCCUACAGUGUCAACACAUAGUCUAAACAUGAUUUAUGGUUCAAUUUCUAUACUACAUGGAGAAUGUACAAAUAACAACAGCUUAUUCAACUACACGGUUCCACAGAAUUUGACCAAGUCACAAUUCCUAUGGUGCACGCACAACACGUCUGUCACCUAGUACGUGCGUCACCAUAAAACCAAAUACAUGACACGUAAUACUGGGUUUUAUACUCUCAGAACCAAAUUUAGAACUGUUACUUACCUUAAAUCGUGAAAUUCUUCACUCCAAUAUGCCUUUGCCUCGCGAAUUGGUCUCCGAAAGCCUCGUAUUUAGUCACAAUUAAUUCGAUUCAGUAAAUACAAAUUAUAGGAAUUAAUUCCAUAUGAAAAUACUAAUUUUCCAACAAAAUCCGAAAUUUAACUCAAAAAUCGCUUGUGGGGCCCACAUCUCGGAACCCGACAAAAGUUAUAAAAUAUGAACGCCCAUUCAGCCACGAGCCUAACCAUACCAAAAUUACUAAAUUCCGAUAAACAUUCGGCCCUAAAAUCCUCAAAUUAAUCCAAGAGGGUAAUUUGACCAAAAUUGAGUUAAGAAUACUUACACCAUUAUUUUCCUUGAAAAUUUCCCGAACAUCGCCUCUCUCCGAGCUCCAAAUAGGAAAAGAUGGAAAAUGGGAUGAACAAAACUUACACUUUCUGUUCAAGCUCCUCUUCUUCGCGAACGCGGCCACUUCUUCACGUUCGCGAAGCACAAAAUUGUGCUACCGAAAGUUCCUCCUUCGCGAACGCGAAGGCACCCUCACGAAUGCGGUGCCUUACAAGGCUAGACCUUCGCGAACGCAUCCCUGUGAACGCGAACGCGAUGCCUUAUCGCUUUUAGCCUGGCACCAGUUUCCCUUCACGAACGCGGGAACCCCAUCGCGAAUGCGAAGGAGAAAACCAGACAGAGCAUCAGCAAAUUCCAGCAAAGUUAAAGUCCAAAAUUCAAUCUGUUAACCAUCCUAAACUCACCCGAGGCCCCCGGGACCUCAACCAAAUACACCAACAAGUCCUAAAACAUCAUACAAACUUAGUCGAACUUCUAAAUCACAUAACAUGAAUCAUAUCCCAAUUCAUGCUUAAUAAAACUAAAAAAUUCCAACUUCUACAUUUGAUGCCGAAACCUAUCAAAUCAAGUCCGAUUGACCUCAAAUUUUGCACACAAGUCAUAAAUAACAUAACUGACCUAUAAAAAGUUUCAGCACUAGAUUUUGACCCCGAUAUCAAAGAGUCAACUCCCCAGUCAAACUUCCGAACUUAAACUUUAUAUUUUCGCCAUUUCAAGCCUAAUUUAGCUACGGGCUUUCAAAUAAUUUUUCGGACAUGCUUCUAAGUCCAAAAUCACCAUACAGAGCUAUUGGAAUCAUCAAAACUCUAUUCCAGGGUCGUUUACAUAUAAGUCAAUAUCCGGUCAAUAUUUUCUACUUAAGUUUUCAUCUUUAAGACUAAGUAUCUCAAUUCAUUUCAAAACCUCACCGGACCCGAACCGAUUACCCCGCCAAGUCAUAUAACCAUUGUAAAGCACAAAUUGAGUAGUAAAUGAAGGAACGGGGUUGUAACACUCAAAACGACCGGCCGGGUCAUUACAAUUAUGAGUGGAUAGUAAAGGGACAUACCUCUCUCAUUCCGGUGAGUCCCUGUUCUUGAUCGAGUUGGGCCUUCUUCGUGGCGAGAUGAGGAUACAUCGAUAGUUCUGACAUAUGGGAGAUGCCAUUCUUGGUUUAGUCGUGAGGCCGCUGGAUCUCUUCUGAUAUCACUUCUCCGAUCUUUUUUGGAUUCCGCUUGUACUGAGGUCAGUUGAUCAGUCGGCCCAUUGAGUCCGUCUUCGUCUGCUCGAACUUCGGCACAGUACGCAUUAUGUAUUUCAUCCCAGGUCAUUGGGGGAUAUUUCAUAAGCCGGCUUAAUAACUUUCUUGUUGCCCUUAAACUAUUUCUGUUCAGCCCGUUUUGAAAAGCAUCUACUGCCAUUCCUUCUGAUAUAUUGGGUAAGGUCAUUCUUACCCGGUUGAAAUGGGCAGGGAAGUCCCUCAGUCCUUCUCCCAGGGACUAUAUGAUAGCAAAGAUGUCAUUCACUCUUGCCUCGAUCUUCUUGGCCCCGGCGUAGGCCGUCACGAACUUAUCGACCAUUUCCUCAAAGGUUUCGAUGGAACGUGAUGGCAGUUGCGGUGACGUAAUGGGUCAUAUGAUCCUCUAGGUCAGUCGUGCCACCGUAUAUUUUUAGAUAAGGUGGUAUUUUAAAGGUCUUUGGUAUGGCAUGCGGGGCAACGCUAUCAUUGUACGGCUGCUCGACGAACCAACCGACAUCUCACUUCGGCAAUAACUUAGGAGCGCCCGGUAUUUCAUCGACCCUUUCUUGGUAUUCUCUCAUUUGAUCCCGAAGUGUCUUGUUCUAGUUUUCUAUUUCCUCCAUCCUUUUCAGAAUGGCUGUGAGUCAUCGCCUGCAUUGUUAACAACAUUGUGAGUAAUACAUGUCAUCGUGGGUAGAGAGAAGGUUGACCAUGUUGCUCGUCUACUGGUGAUGCAGCAUAGGUUCUCGCCUUUGCUACGGCCGCAUCCUGAACGAGCUUAUGGAGGACGUUGGUCAGUGUAUUAGUUAGCCAGGCCUCAAUGAGCUUCUUUAUCGCUGGUGGUGUCUCCUAUCCCAAGGAUGUGGAGGCUGUCUUGCCAAGGGAUUUUGUGAUGUUACAGUGGGGAGGGGGUGAUCCACCUUGCCUAGGAGAGGCAUGUGGCGUUGUGUCCUCGUCCACUGAUUUAGAGCUUUCAUGGAAAAUGUCCAUAAGGUUGGUUAGGAGGUCACUCUAGGGCUGUUCAAAACCGAACCGAAACCGUUAACCGAUCCAAACCGAUAACUUAUUGGCUUAUUGGUAUCGGAUUAUCAGAAUAAUGGAUGGUGAACGGAUUGAGAUUCUAUAAUUAACGGCUUAACGGUUUGGGGACGGAUUACUUAAUUUUCUUAUUGGGUAAACCGUUAACCCAUUAAGAAUUUUUAUAUUUACACUUUUACCCCUUUGUAUAUAAAGUGCUAUUGAAACCCUAAAUGGCUAAAUCCCUAAUUUUUAUUUUCUAAUUCUCUGCAGCCACCAGAGGCAGAAAAGUCAUCAGUCUCGUCUCUCUCUUGAACUGAAAACUGAGAAGUCGAAAAAUCAAAAUCUCAAUGAUUAAUACGUAUAUGUCUGUAUGAGUAGUCUUGAUGGUAUUAAAAAUUUGGUUAAUACGUGUAUGACAGUAUGAAUAGUCUUGAAGAUUUUUCAAUUGAAAAAUACCAUUUGGUUAUAUAUUAGAUGGUAUUAAAAAAUUGGUAUUGAUUAGAAACUGUUUGAUAUUGAUUGAAUGAUUGAUCAAAAAAAUUCUAUUUGGUUUAGCCGAUAAGCCGCCCGAUAAUUGUUAAUACGAUAUCAAUCCGCCCAUUCUCUUAUUGGAUGACUAUCGGAUUACUACAUUUAUAAUCCGAUAACUAGCAUAAUUAUCCGCUCGAUCCGCCCGUUAAGCACCCCUAGGUCACUCAUUAUUCUCGUUCUUUCUUUUCUGUUAUCUGCCAUGUUAGAUCUAUGCAUGUAAAAAGAAGAAGGCUCUUUUUUUUUUUCCGGUAACCAGUGUUGGUUAUAGAUCUAGAAGAAACUAAAAGACUUAGCUAGAAGAUCCCCACAGACGGCGCCAAAUUAUUUGACCAAAAAAUAUAAUUUCCGGUAAAACUAUUUAAUUUAUAUAAUAAGAGGUUAGAUCUAGUUAAGGAUAAUAACUCUAGAUACUAAUCUCUGAAACGUACAGGAGAUGGGGAUAGAUCCCGUAAAUAAUUGAUAACAAUAAAUGCAAAAUACUCUUGAUGCAUGAACAUUAAUGGGGAUAUAAUUAACAAUAAAUGGUAAUAGAUGGCAUUUAAAUAAAUAAGGAGAAUGAUUCACCCAAUAAUGUAAGGAUUAGACGAAUAUUUCUCUUGACAAUAAUGAGUGACAGAAAGGUCCAAGAUUCGUAUGAACAAUCCUCGGAUCUGGUGGAAAAGUGGGGAAUAAUAUGAACAAGAAUCUUUAUCAAAAGGUAAUCUUUGUAUUUUUGUAAGAGAGGAAGAAUCUUAUUCUCAAAAGUGUUUUUAUCAAAAUGAAUAUUACAUGCCCCUGUCAUUGUCUUUUUUUUUUUUUUUUAUAUAUAUGGGACCUUUUCCUAGAAAAAUCUAAUAGUACAAAUGAAGGGAAUAUCCCAUAGAAUAUUCUCUCUUAAUAUCCUAUCCUGACAAAUUAGUCGUUACAAGUCUUAUCGUCAAUAAUUAAUUUCGACCUCGACCCUUGUUGACCAUCUCGACUACGACUCCUGUCGACAUUUCGAUUAUGAUUCAUGCCAGCACCUCGUUCAAUGACUUUGCUACAUCUUGGGCGAGUUCGACCGAUUCUUUCCUCAAUACCAUAUUAAACUAAAUUUCUUAGGGACGGAUUUUGGUCUAUACACAUCUAACUCACUUUUUUACUCCUACCAUGAAUGAUUAUUAAAUUCUUUAAGUUGUGCCAUUUGAAUCCCACAAUUGAUUUGGGCGCCUCACGAUUCCACUGGAUAGAUAUUCCUAGAAAAUUUGGAAGGGUUGGAAUCUUUCACUAUCUGAUGAUGAUUGUGGGAAGAUUAAAUGAAUCUUCAACUUCGACUCCGUGUAUCAACUAUAUAUUUUAAUUAUGUCUGCUUAAAAGAAUCUAAUACGAAUUUGAGAUUAAGGAGAGGGAAAACUAAUCGAUAAAUUCAGAUGGAAAGAUCGUUAUGAACAAGUUGCCGUCACGUCUCCAAAUGAAAUUAUCCAUUAUAGUUGACAAUACUAAUAGUUACUUGCUCUUUCCCUAGAGAUGAAUGUAAUUUUAAUUAUUUUUUCAAAAGCUCACAGUAACCCAGCAAGUUUACAAUACUCAAAUGACCUAACUUCAUCUUCCUAAUUUUUUUUUCUUAUUAAGGAAAUAAGAAAAAAUUUCAAACUUCCAAACCUAGCUCCUAUUCUUGUUAAUUCUACUGAGGCUUAUAGAUAGAAAUAUAAGUAGAGCCUUAAAUAAAAGAGAAUAUAUAUCAGGAAAAGUUUCCCUGAUUGAAAUUAAAAAUAUAAAAAAUCGGUGCAGGUUAAGGGCAAGAAGUUUCACUUGGUUAUAUCUUUUUGCGGCCAAUAUUGUUUUCUUUAAUAGGCUGAUAUUACCUUACGAGGAACAACUUUCAUUUCAUCUGCGACUUUAGACAUCAAGUAUUUCUGCUUUGUCAUAGUUAAUUUAAGCAUAUAAAAAUUGAAAGGCGCAUGUUUAAUCCGUAUGAUUUCC